rnacentral:lncRNA from 1 species
UUUUUUUUUUUUUUUGUAAAUUUAUGAUUGUUGACAUGCAGUGGCGGAUCCAGGAUUUCUGUGAAGGGGGUUCGAAAUAUAAAUAAGAAAACAUGUAAAAAUACAAGAUGAAAAACUGAGUGAGAUAGGAGGAAACUAGUAAUCUGAAUCCAAUAAGUUUAACUUGCCUUGUCAUGCUGCGUUAAGUUUUUUUUUACUUUUACCCUAUUUCAUCGAGCUUUUUUUAAAAAUAUUUCUUGUGCUUUUUUUCUCUUUUAUAUUCCAGUGUUCUACUCUUUUUUUUUUUUGAUUUUUUUUAAUUCAACCACUAAGAUAUUAUAAUAAAUAGUCAUAAGAUAAAUAAUUGACAUCGUCGAUAUUUUAGUUCCUUUAAUUCAAUUUACUAGGUUAGUCAUUCGUGAAAAAGACAAAUGAUAAAUAGAACAAAUAAGUUUAAUUUAGUUUUCAUCUUUUUAAAAUCGAACUGAAAAAAGAAGAAGAAAGAAAUACUAUAAAAUUAAAGGGGGGGGGGGGGUAAUCAAUUAAUUAGAUUUUAUUAAAAGAUUAUUCACGACUUUUAAAUUUCUUCAUUAGAUUAACUUUUAUCUAAUUUAUUUUAUAUAAUAUUUUUUGUAAAUCAAUUUCAAAUUUUAUAAUAAUUCAUCGUUAGUACAUAGAGACUUAUGUAGAAAUAAAAUGAGAAGUAUAAAUAAGAAGAAUAGUAGACAAAAGUAUCUAAAAUAUGUCUAAUAAAUUUAAACAAAGAUAAAUUGAGAAAAAAAAUAGCAUAGAGAUAAAAAUAAUGAUAACAAAAAUAAUAAAGUUUUACAUUGAAUCAAAAACAAUGAGGCAUUUCAUUGAGUUGGAUUUGAGCCCAAAACCAGAGCCCAUUCAGCCUUCCAAAAACAAUGAAAUGGAGUUGGAUUUGAGCCCAACACAAGAGCUCAUUCAGCCUUUCAAAGCAAAAAAAAAAAAAAAAACAAGUGGGAAAAUGUUACAAGUGAGAGUUGAACCCCAAACAUCUCGGUCAAAGACUCAAAGUUGAACCCCUUAGCCGCUAAGCCAUGCCUCUCUUUUGUUUUGAGGGGGUUCAUUUUAAUAAAUGUACUCAUAAAAUAAAAAAUAGACCUUAUAUAUACAAUGUAAUUUUUCGACAAAUCCCCUAACCUCCACGUGGGUCCGCUCCUGUUGACAUGACAAGAUAGAAUAUACUUUAAUAUUUUGUAAUUUUAAUACUCUCUCUGUCCCUAAUUAUUUAUCCACUUUUGAAUUGACACACCUAUUAAGAAAAUAAUAAUUGACAUAUUGAGUUUACCAUUUUACCCCUAUUAAUUAUGAAGUGGAUGGAUUAAAAAUUUAAGAUUUUCAAGAAGUUCUAUCUUUUUCAAAAUUAAUUAACUGAAAUUAUAGUAGGUAAAAAAAUUUGUCCUUUCUUGAUUUGUCAAAAUAGACAAGUAAAAAGGGACAUAUAAAAAAAGAAAAAAUUGACAAGUAAUUAGAGACAGGGAGAGUAUCAUGAAUUUGAAUGGUGAUACUCAAUUUUUUGGUACUUAGCAUAAUAAUGAGAUAUAAACACAUGUUAAGUUGCAUUCAUGGACCAUGGUACUAUAAAUAUUUCAUUACAAUGUCAACAUACCUAAGAUUUUAAUUUCCAUAUAGAGAUAUAGUACCAAAAUAUGGGGUCCCCUAGUUUUAUAUAGCCCACAAGCUCCAUUUAUCAAUCACUUAAAGAUCAUAUCCCAAUUAUAGAAAUGGCUGAGGAGGAAGAGAUAAAGCAAAAGACCCAACAAAUGGAGGAGAAAAGCACUUACAAAGUUUGUGUUACAGGAGGUGCAGGGUACAUAGGUUCUUCUCUUGUUAAAAAACUUUUGGACAAAGGUUACAUUGUUCAUGCUACACUAAGAAACUUAGGUAUGUUGAGUGGGUAUUUUCAUAGAUAUUUUGAUUGAAUCAAUGAGAACAGAAAAAAAAAAAGAAAAAAAAAGACUAGUGUUUUUACACAGAUUUUUUUUUUCCCAGUAUUUCGAUGAAAAUCUGUUUUCCAUGUAUGUUUUCAUAGUGUGUGUGUGGAUGUUUUUUAAAAUGAUUAGUUAAGUUGAUUUAAAUGUAGAGGAUGAGUCAAAGGUGGGACUAUUGAAGAGCUUAAGUGGUGCAGAUGAAAGAUUAAAGUUAUUUGAAGCUGACAUUUAUAGAGCUGAGGAAUUUGAGGAAGCUAUUCAAGGCUGUGAAUUUGUUUUCCAUGUUGCCACCCCUUCAUUGCAUUAUGAAGGAUCUCAGGUAUGGAAUUCCACUGAUGAUACUCAUCAAUCCCUCUUUUCAGGAUCAGAUCUAGGAGGGGCGAGGGUGUUCACUCGAUAACAAUUAUAUAUAGGGCUUUAGAAUUUAUCUUGAGUUCCAAGUUCAAAUCGUAGAUACUAUUUGAAUUCGGUGAAAAUUUUGGAUCCAUCACUGCCUCUCAUCCCAAAUUAUAACUGAGUUUGAAUUAUGUGCAUUGAUAUUAUAAUUUAUUUAUUUUUAUCAUCAAAUGAAAUUGAUUUAUAAUAAUAUGUUAUUAUAUACUCAUAUUUGUUAUGGUCAACACUUUUUACUUAGUUUCAUAUAUAUAAAUUUUAUUUUUAAAUAAAUCUUGUUUCUUUUAUCUGUAAUCUUGACCUUAAUAUAUGAAACAGUACAAAGAUAGAACAGAGGCAACAGUUGAUGGAGUGAAGAAAAUUGGAAGGAUUUGCCUUAAAAGUGGGACAGUUAAGAGACUUAUUUAUACUGCCUCUAUUAUAGCUGCCUCCCCAUUAAAGGAAGAUGGAAUUACUUUCAAAGAAUUAAUGGAUGAAACAUGUUGGACACCUCUUAAUUUCUCAAAUCCUUACAACCAACCGUGGCUUUGGGUGAGCUUAAUUAAUGUAUUUAUUGACCUUUCUAUAUGCUGCAUUAUAUUAUUAUCAUCCUAUAUUAAUUUGAUAUGAUUUGAUUUCGGCAAAAUGUGGUAUUAUAAGUGGAUAAUAGUAGUCUGUUUGACUUCAAUUUACAUGACAAAUUUGAUUUGCGUUAGCACUAUUUUAUUAUUUUGAUUUAUAAAUACAACCAAACCUCUCUAUAGUGACAAAGUUUGUUGAAAAGUUUCUAGGUUGUUAUAAUGGGCAUAAUACAUAAAUAUGUUCUUUAACUUGACCUCAGCUCAUAUCUAUGUGUUGGGUUCGAAAGUGAUUUGGACGUCAUGCAGAAGCUUACAAUUGCAGAUCAUAAGAUGAUAAAUUAGACAACACAUAAAACUAUACUAAACGACAUAAUAUUAUUAUAUGAUAUGACCAAUUGGCCUACAUAAUUAAAAACAUAGAAAAUGUAGAGAGAAAAUCUCUCCAUAAACAAAAGUCUUUAAACGACUACAUUGUGGAAUUUAUUGUAUUAUCCUAUGAGAAGAGGAAUCUUCAAUUUAUAGAGUUCCAAAUCUUCCAUCCAAGGAAAGAAUAAACCAAAUAUGGAAGAGAAUUAUAUUUUUCUUUCAGGAAAAGUAAAAACAUUUAUGAUAAUGUUUUGACUUUUCUUUAAGGAAAAAGUAAAACUCAAAUAUGGCAAGAAAAUCAAGACAAAACCCUAACAUUAUGUUCUCCAACUUUGAGUGUGCACGGGUAGACACUUAAACUUGUAUAAAGUUAAACAACUAUACACAAACGUCCUACUUGACAUCAUACAUGGAAAUUUUCAUCAUACGUGGUGUCUUAUGUGUAUUAUGCCAAAUAGGGCUCGUGUGUCUAUUUGUUCAACUUUAUACAAGUUUAAGUGUCAACUUGUGCACACCCAAAGUUGGAGAGUAUAAAUGUGAAAUGACCCCAAGUUAAAGGACAUAUUUAUAUAUUAUGUCGUUAUAAUGAGGUGUUGUUCUAUAUAUAUAUAUAUAUAUAUACUAAUAUAUGACAUUUAUAUCUCAUUUAGUUGUUAUAAACAAAAGUGUGCAAUUUUUAUUUAUUAUGAAUACAGUUAUGUAAAUAACUUUUACAUAAUCAGUACAUAUAACUUAAAUUCUCUUAUAUAUUAUUAUAGGAUUAUGUAGAGUCAAAGAUGUUAGCUGAGAAAGAGGUGUUGAAGUUUGAGAAGGAAGGUUUGGAAGUGGUUACGUUAUGUUGUGGCCUUGUGGGUGGACACACUUUUUUGCCUUAUUUCCCAUCAACUUCUGCUAUGUUCUUGUCAGUGUUCACUCAAGAGGAGAAAUUGUGCAAUAUAAUCAAGUUUUUAGAGGAACUUAAUGGAAAAGUUCCAAUAGUACAUAUUGAAGAUGUGUGUGAAGCUCAUAUGUUCUUCAUGAAUAAUGUUGGUUCUCUCAAUGGGCGUUUCUUGUGUGCUAGCUCAUUUGUUUCUACUGCAGAGAUUGGCAAUUACUAUCAACACAAUUAUCCAGAGUUUAAGGUCAACCAAGAGUAAGAUGUUAUUAUGAAUCUUGCAUUCUACAUUACAUUACUUCCUUGAUAACCGACUUGGAUUGUAGUGGGAUGGUUGAGUUUCCUUUCACACUUAAUCAAAGGUUUUGGGAUGGUCAAGGGGUAGGGUCGGGGGAAUUGGGUGGGUAAGGAGGAUAAAAUAAGCAUAGAAUAUAUCUAUUAAGGAAGUCAUUUUCUUCGUUUUUAAGGCCUUUUCAUGUGCGGACCUGAGUCUUUUUCAUGAGUCUAUCACGUGAGAAUUCUUUUUAAUAUAGGUGGCGGUGAGAUUCGAUAUCUCAAGACCUUUGCUCACUCUGAUACCAUGUUGAAGUGUGUGACCAUCUCAUUUAAAAAUUUAAGUUGUUAGAGAGAGCAACACUUUUACUAUUUAAUUAUAUUCUCAACACGCACCCUUGACCAUCCCACCUCUUAUGUGAUAUUUUUGUCAAAUGUGAUUUUUAGUUUCCUUUCCUUAAACUUGUCAAUCUCAGGUACUUGAAUGACCCCAAGAGAGAAAUCAAGUGGGGAUCAAAAAAGUUGGUUGAAAAAGGUUUUGUGUACAAAUAUGGAAUGAAGGAGCUACUUGAUGAUUGUGUUACUUCUGCUAGGAAGAAUGGCAUUUUAUAGCCACAAUGAACAAAAUUAACUAGUUUCUGAAUCAAAAUUUUAAUUUGUUACAGACAUGACAUUAUAUAUUUUAGACAAAUCUUAGAGCCACUUGACAUUUUUUUUUUUCUAUCGUUUGUAACAAGUGGUGUCAAAAUUUAUGGUAAAGUACAUUGCCAAAAAAAGUUCACAGGAGAAAAAACAAAAUAGUACAAAAAAUAGAGUUUUCCAAAGAGUUGGCUCUCAAGUUAGUGUCGAUCACAAAAACACUCGAUAUGACCCAAUUCUAGGUCAGAGGUUCAAAUCCUAAGUGUGACUCUCUGGCAUCUUAUGAAUUCCUGACGUUGUUACUACUCUUAAAUUAGGUGAAAUAUUCAGAAAUGUCGAUCAUCAAGUUAGGAUCAUGAACAUCAAGUUGAUCAUCCACUGAUGAAUCCCAGUCUCUGCAAAAAGGCGAUUCAAUUAUUGAAGUUGGCGUUGAGCUAAACACAAUACGAUCCGAUUCUGAGCUCUGAAAAAUCUUGUCCAUCUCAAACUCCUCUUCUUGAUUUGGCAACAAUGACAAGUACAUGGAUUCUGAUGUAAAUGGCUCUAUUGAAUUGGCAAAGAAUUGGGCAUUUUGACUUUCACAUUUUAGUGGAGUGAAAGGAACAUUUUCUUCUUUGAUAGUAUUCAACUUUUCAACUUUUUGUUUCUUUAUUUGACACUGAUUUGGCUUUUGGUUUUCAUAUGAAAGGAAUAUUGAUGAUUGUGAGGCUUUGCAACUAUGCAUUCCUUUAUAUGUCACUUCAAAGACUAAAGGAUCUUGUUCUGAUUUUUGAACUUGUUUUGUUGCUAAGCAGCUUUGUGUAUUCCUGUGAGUGCACCUAUAAUAAGCCCUGCAAUUUCAAAUGUAACAUUCAUCUUAGAUACAAAUCCAGAUAAUUCAGUGCACUAAGCUUCUGCUAUACUUAUCUUAUAUCACAUGACAAUAACUUUAUUAGUUACGUCAGGCUCCCCUUCUCCCAAGUAAAUACUUAGAACUAAUCUUAAUUUUAUUCAAAAAAACACACUUUAAUCAUGUUCUAUAGGCAAACAUACUUUCAUGAGGGUUGUCUAUAUUUUUGGAAACCCUUCAAGCCCAAAAGUUGAAUUGUUGUGAAUUUAAGGACAUUCUUGCAUUGAAUAUUCUAUAAUUUCAAAACUAUCACUAGCUAACAAAAGUGAAAAAGUGUGGUUGUCAUAAUAUGAAAAUAGUUUAACAACCAAACAAAAAAAAGGGAUUUCUUUUUCUUUUUCUUUUACCUUGGAUGAAUAGCUCCUAAAAUGUUUUUCUGCCCAUAUUUUCUCCAACUAUAACCAUCAUCAUGAUUGAAACUUUCAAGCUCUGUCCCACAUAUUCUAACUUGUUUACUCCAUUGCAGCAUUUUCUUUCUACAAAUCCAACAAAAAAAAAUUAGAAAAAAAUCCAAAACCUCAAUUUCAAGAAACCAUAGAAAAUUAUUUAAUUGAGGACCAAAUUAAUUCACCUUUUCUUUUUUUGGCCUUGAUCCCUCAAAGGAAAAGGAUCAUUUGUUCCAUUAAGAACUUCACAAUUCAAAAUUGACAAUGAUUUGUCUAGAGAGGAAAGUAUUUUCUCAAGAAGUAAAUCACAUUCCUUUGGUGAAGCCAGAGGAUCAAACUGGUUUACAAACUCUUUACCUUGAGUAAGCUCAGUAAUUAGACUUUCUUUACCCCAAGCUUUAACUUUCUCCAUUUGGGGAUCAAUCUUUAGUGACAAAAUAGCAAAAAGAAUCAAUCUUUAGUGACAAAAGAUCAAAAAGAUUCAAUCUUUAGUGACAAAAUGUAAAAAGAUUCAAACUUCAAUGACAAAAGAGCAAAAACAUUCAAUCUUCAGUGACAAAAGACCAAAAAGAUUCAAUCUUUAGUGACAAAAAUGCAUAAAAGAUUCAAUCUUGAAUGACAAAAGAGCAAGAAGAUUCAAUCCUCAAUGACAAAAAUGCAAAAGAGAAUCAAUUUUUUUGUGAAUUGGAAAGAGUUAAGCCAAAGCACUAAAUGGGAUGUUUCAAAACAAGAAAACAAGUAUAAAAAUGAGUAUUUAAAAUCACUGAAAAUUAUAUAUAAAGAUGACAAAUUGAUCACUAAAUUUUUUCAAGAAAUAAGUAAGGACAAAAGAGAGAAAGUGAAGGUGCUAUGUAACUACUAAGAGGUUUCUUUAUGAAUUGCAAAAACAGUAAGAAAGGAUAGGGGGAUAUGAAGGAGGAAAAUAUGUGGAAAGUGGGAAAGUAGAAUUUGUAAUGUGAACAAAGAAUUCGAGAAUAAUUCAAGAAAGUUUCUAAUGUGGGCCAAUUUUUUGGCCACCACCAUCAAUUACAUUUAACUUUCAUUUUUUUUUCUUCCAAUUUUGUCUUUCUAUUUGUCCCUUGAUUGAUUAGUAUGUCCUUUUCUUCUUUUUUUUUUAUCAUUAAUUGUUGUUAGAAGUACUACUAUGAUUUUAUGGCCUUCAUAUUUGCUACCUACCAAUUUUUUUUUUGAACAGCUAAUUGAGUAGUGUUUAUUGAUCUAAAUGAUUAGUAGAAUGUUAUAAAAGAUCUAUGUUAUUAUGUCAUACCUAGAAUGUCCUUUUAAAUGGACUUUAUCUUAUCAGAAAGAAUUGAGACUAAAUCCAAAACCAUAAGGUUGCAAAUUGACUAAUUUUAAACUUCUUAUUUUAUUUCUAAUGAGAUAAGUUAUAUAGUCCUAUAAGUAUCUAUGACUUAUUUAGAUUAUAUAUAUUUCAAUAGAUUUUCUUAAACCUCAUAUCCAAUCGGGAGCAAUUUUUAUAAAAGAAUAUUACUAAAUUUAUUGGUUUCUUUCAUAAUUGUGCGAAGCAGAUCCCAUUCACUAGUUAUAAAUUAUUCCCUCCUUUUUAAUUUCUUAGUCUAGUUUUUAUUUGAUACAGAGUUUAAGAAAGUACAAAAGACUUUUAAAUCUGUGGCCUUAAACUAAAAAUACAUAAAAUGUACCAAAAUAUUAUUUAUUCUUGUAGUCUUAAACAUAUCAUGUGAAAAGUUAAAAUUAAAAAAUUAUCAAAAGGGGAAGAGACAUUCUUUUUGAAACAUAUUAAAAAGAACAAUAGGACAAACAAAUUGAAACGGAGAAAAUAUUUUCAAAGAGUCUCUUCAAGAGAAAGGGAUGAUUAAAACUUAUAGUGCUUAUUUGUUAGUAAAAUGAAAUUUUAUGAUGUCAAAAAAUGUUGGCAAAAAUAGAAAACACAUAGAAAUGAGGUGGAGAAUGUAUUAUUUAAGUGAAGAAAAGGAAUAGGAAGAAAGGAACACUCUUCACACAUGGUUCCACGUUGUUGCCUUUGACAAAGGGAAGAGUGAUAUGACGUUGAUGAUAGGUUAGUGUAUGAUUUUUUACUUAUUUUUUUUAUAUUUGAUAAAUAUGUUAAAACAAUACUAUCUCAAAAGUAUUUAAUAUAAUUUUAAUAAAUACGAUGAAUAUUAAUGGGGGAGGAUGUGUCCAAGAGUAUAGGGGGAUGGGGACCGGGGAACGAGGACAAGGGAAGGCUAGUGUGGGACGGGUUGGAUGUAGAUUGUUGGGAUGAAAAACAAGAAAUCAGCAUGAAGUGUGAUUUAUAAAACUUAUUUUUUUAACGCUUUGUUGGAGAAAAUAUAUUGAUCAAUUAAAUAUGAGAAAACUUUAAAAACAAACACCUUGUAAAAGAUAAAACAAAAUGGUGUUAAAUUAUUAUUUUUGGACUCUUUUUAAAAAAAAAUGAAAGUCUUUAAAUUUUGACUCUAAUACUAAUCACACAAAUUUUUCUUAACAAAGGAAAAACUCUUUUUUUUUUUUCAAUUCUCUCUUGAAAAUUGAAAUGAUGGCACCUCACUAAAACUAGAGUCGUCAAUAUGGGCUAGGCCCGUUGGAUCGGUCUGGUCUAACCCGUGAUUUGAUAGGAAUGAACAACGAUUUUUGGAGCCCAUUUAAGAAAAGGGCUUUUAGCCCGGCCUGAAUAAAUCUGCUGAUUUGUGGGGUUUGAAAAAUAUGGAUAGGGCCAGCUCGUGGGCCAAAUAAAAAUAAAAUAGAGUAUUAAAAAUAAUAAGAGUCUAAACUCAAAAUCUGUUUAAAGUUUGAAAUAUUAUAAUUUAAAUACAAAUUAUGUUUAUAAAAUAUGUACUACUUAAAAAAAAUUCCCUAAAAUUUCUAGGAAAUCACUACAUAGGCCAUAGCCUAUGGAAUAUUGUCAAAGCUUUUGUGUUUUAUUAUAAUCAUUGGAAAACAAUUAUUUUGAUAUUUCUAUUUAGCUAUUUAUGCUUUUACUUGAAAUCAAACUUAAUAAAUAUUAUAAAAUAAUUUUAUUUGUGUAUUUGAUUAACAAGUAGUAACAUUAACAACAUGUAAUAUUGUCUUGUCGAUAUUUAUAAUAAUAUUUUUAAAUUAUAAUUUAAUUUAAAAAAUAUAAAAAAUAUAUUUUUAAGAAAAAAAGGGUUGGCCCGGCAAAGCCCGUAGCCCACGUACUUGUGGGCUGGGCCAACAAUUUUCUGGCCCACUCAAAAAUGGGCUAGCCCGGCCUGACUCGUUAAAUUUCAAAGCCUGUAUGGAUUAGCCCGGAUGGGGUAGGCCAACCCAUAUUGACAGCUCUAACUGAAACCCUCGCAUAAUGUAAAAAUAUAAAUUAAAUAAUACGAAAAAAAUAAUUAAUAAAAACAAUAAAACUUUCGUAUAGUUUAAACAUUUAACUGACUAUUUUAUAUUAAUGGAGGAAAUUCGGGUCUAUCAUAUCCCCCUAAAUUAAGUCACUUAAAAAUGCUUAUAAACAUAAGUUGGUACAAAAAAUAUGAGUUUGGGUCCAAAAAAAAAAAAAUCAUCAAUGUAAUAAGGAAAUUGUCAAAAAUCUAAAAAAUGAUGUAGGUGACAUUUUUCAACAGAGCAUUAGAAUUUAAAGGAAAUAUAUACUGAUUUUUUAAUUGUUUCCUAGAAGUUGCACCCAAGGUCAUGAAACACUCCCUCUAUUCACUUGUACAUUAUUUUGAAAAUAUUUUUUAUUUUUAUUUGUCAUUUUUAAUAUAUACUAAAAAAAUCUAUUUAAUUCUUAGUAGUAUUUACUUAUUCUCUAAUUCAUUUUUCAAGAUUCUAGACUAUACAUCAAUUAGUAUAAAUAUUAUGAUUAAAUACACAUAUUGAUAAUUAUUUCAUAAAAAGCAUACAAAAUAUAAAAUAAACAAGUAAAAAUGAACAAAAUUAAUAAUUUCUGCUCAUGUAUAGGCACAUCACUCAAGACCACUUGAGGACAAAAUAUAAUUCCCAAAAGUCUCAUCACUUAAAUGCAGAAAAUAAUUCAUUCGUUAUACACACUGUUUAUCAAAAGAAAUUUAAAUCAAUUAUAAAAGUUCUUGCUAACCACGUUUCUCAUUUAUGAAACAAUGAGAUCCUCAUAUGUCCAAUUCAACAUAUAGUCAUUCUUACUUGUUUCAUUUAGUUUUAUAUUGUCAACAUGAAUAUGAAAUAGGAAACAAAUAAUACUCACUCCGUUUUAAUUUAUGUGUCACCUUUCAAAUUUCAAAAUUUAAACAAGUUUAUUUUUGAAAAAUCUUUUUGGCCAGAAUGGUAAAAUAACAUAUUUCACACUAUUUUAUUUUACCUUUUUAAACAUUUUUACCCUUUUAACUUUCAUACAUUUUAAUUAAAAAAUGGAAAAAAGAACAAUUUAUUUAAAAAUAAAAAGGAUACUAUAGACUUUUAAAUUUUUUGACCAAAUUCUGGCCAUUUAGCAUUACCCUUUAUUUUUAAUCAUUAUUUUUCAUGCAUCUUUUAAAUAAUUUGAAUUAUCAAUUAGUGUGACUUGGGAUAAUUGCACGGAAGUUUCAACAAAAUCAUCAAUUUCUCACAUUUUAUGUGACAUUUUUUUUUAUCUCCUCCACCCCCCUCCCCCUAAAAAGAUAGCUUUUUAUUUAUUUUCUUUCUUUAUUGUUACUUGUUCAGUAUUAAUUUGACACAUUUUUUAAAUAAAUAAAUAAAAUAGAAUGACAAUUUUACUAUAUCACUUAUUGAAUAUAAUAACUUCAAUGCAUUGAAAGAGGACUUUAGUUAAUAAUAAGAAUAAACUAGGAAUUAAGUAAUAAAUAAUUUCAUGAUAAAUUUCAAAAUAACCCACAAUACUAUAAUUUCUGUCAUAGCCUUUAUCCUUUGGAUAUAAGCACUUUGUGUGCACCCAGAUUAACAAACAUUUCAGCUUUUAUCCUAUAAAAUAAAUAAUUCCAUUUAUUUCAAAGGUUAGAAAUCACGAGGAAGAUUCCACUUGAUUGGUUCACUUUAUCCUAUUAUUCUCAUGUCACCUUUUCACCUAAAUUAAAGGGGAUAUAUGGAAUAAAUGGAGUUCUUGCGUUCUUUCUUAUAAUUUAUUCAUAAAAAAGGGUCUAGCUCAUCGGCGAUCCCUAAAAUUGGCAUCAUAUUUCACUUAGACAUAUUAAUUAUGUGAUAUUUAUUUUAGACACUUUAUAUAAGGUUAUGUUAUGUCAUUUUGACACUUUUUACUUAUAGAGGCAGAAAAAAUUUAGUCUAUCAUAGUGGCAAGUUAAUUGUACUUCCAAUUAGGAUGCCGUUAGUCGGUUUGGUUCAAUUUUAAAUAUUAUUAAUUUAAUUUAUUAAUUUAUAGUUUGUAAACACGUUAAAUUGAUUAAUAACUAAAUCAAUAAGAUAUUUCUUAACGAAUUUUGAUUAAUUAGUUUUGGUUUUUAAUGAUUUGAUUUUCAAUUUAACCGAUAAAUAAAUGCUCAUCUAAUCAUAGACAUGAUAGCAAGAAUAUAAGUGCAACACAAAAAUACACUUAUCUCUUUUGGUUAAGACAUAAUUGUUCGAAUUCCUUUUAAAGUCUCAUACAAAAAAUUACGAAAACAACAUUGAGUGUCUGUCAUUUUUCACAAUCAAAACUAAAACUGAGAAAAGAGAAGGUAAUACUAUUUUGUGCAAAAAGAGAAAAUGUGACAUAAUAGAGAAGUAAAGAGUCUAACAUGUGUUGCAUACGGUGGAAAGUAAUACUAAAAUUUAAGAAAUAGCAUUGGUAUUCACUAUAAUUUUGGUUAUUGAUUUAACCAUUAACCAAAAUUAUAAAACCGAUCGACCCAUUAAAAAAAUUUACAAAUUAGUUUAAAAAUUGUUAACCCAAUAAUCUAAUACUAAUAAACUAAUAGUAUUUUUUUUAUUUGAUUUAUUGGUUAAGUCGAUUUUUACGUACCCCUACUCCCAAUUAUAUCUCAAAUUAGUUUUUAAUGCCCUUUGCAUAGUCAAAUAUUUUAUUAAGAGGUUCAAAAUAUGAAAAAGUAAGAAAAAAAUUGAGAGAGGUUCAACAUUUAUUUUAUAUAUAUAAUUUUUUUUUAAAAAAAAUAUGUAUAAAAGGGUAUAUAUUUUCACAAAAAAAAUCGAAUGAACUCCUUUGAUCCUAUAUGCCACCACCCCUACUCCACCCUCUAUUUUUUUUUACAGAUUCUAGAUAACUAAAUUUAUUAGUCUAACGAUCUUUUUAUGUUACAUAAGGUGUUUCAUUAUUUGUACUAGGGUGUGCAAAUUUCAAUUUAACUGAUAAAUAAAAAAUCAAAACAAAUAUUAGUGUCAGGUUAUUGAUUUAACAAUUUUCUAAUUGUUUCUUUAAUCUACCUAUCGCAAAAGGAUCUGCACAUUUUUAUCCUUAAUUUAAUUAUAUAUAAAAGUGACUUUAGAAUUAAUAACCCUAUGUUAAAUUCCUAUUUCCGUUUACUUAGUUUCGUUAAUUGGACUAUAAUGCGUUAAAUACACAUAUGCAAAAAAUAAACUAGUUUAAGGUUUAGAGUUUAGUAUAAAGGAGUGUGGUGAAAUGACAGAGAGUUUUCCGUUCUAAACCAAAGGUGUUAGGUCAAAACCUUAGGAAUGGAGAACUCAAUUGGGAACACACUUUGAACCCUUUAGUGGACUUAUGUGACGUGGAUCUAAAUUAGUUAGGUGAGUAAACUUCAGAUAUUUGAGGGAUUAAAAGAAAUUCAAGGUUUAAUGAUUCUAAUGUUUUUCAUUCCUAUUAAUAUAUUGCUAUGGUUUUGCUUAGAAGUGAUUGUAUUGCUUAAGUCACACAAAGCUUCUACACCAUAUCUAUCUACAAAACAUGAUGACAUUCAUCAAUAAAUUACAAAGAAUGGAAAUAUUGUUACAAACUUUCCUUCAAUUUUUACAAAAAAUGGCAAUUGUGGAGGUGAUACACCUUGGAUAUGGAAAUCUGCAAGUCCAACAUUAUGCUUGCGUAGGCAUUGGCGAAGUCGGAGGCUUGAGAUCAGGAUACUGCAACCAAAAUAAAGAAAUGAUUUAACUUAUAUAUACUAACAGUAUAAACUUUUUUUACAUUAUCAGUGUACGUUUUAUCGUGUUGCAGCAGGUAGCCUGCUUAGUUUUUAGGUCGUUACUCCCAACUUUAAUGAACGGUUACAUGAAGUUAUCUUUUAGAUGACCAGUGUACAGAUGUUAAUAUGAAUGAGAUGACAACAGCACGGGAUGUGGAUGUCCCAGAGACAAAUCACAAGUAAUUGAAUUAGUCCAUUCAGCAAUAUAAUACCACAAUCUCAGAAUUUAAAUGAGAUCAUUCUCGAUUGAUCCUGAUAUAGUGAAAUGAUGGGACCAACUAUUGCGAUAAAGAGAAACUUACAUUGGGAUAUGGAGAAAGUGGCCUUGUAAUUCCAGUUAGUGCUUCUGCUGUUACUUCUGGUUUUGGAGCUGAACUGAUUUCUGGAGUAGACUCGGCAGAUACUUCUACCUUGGAAACUGUUUCAGCUUUCCCCACACUGCCAUUAGGUUGUGAAGGUAUCGGUGACGUUGGAGGCUUGAGAUCAGGAUACUGCAUCAACACAUUAGAAAGAGAUGAUGGCAACCAUUGAUGGCUCGGUGUGAACAACUAACAUUCUUUUGCUAUGAGCCUUGAAGUGGAUCAUAUAACGUAGAUAGGUCUGGGCAUGAGGUUUAUACGGUGAAGGUUGGUAAGGACGAGCUAGUGACUCGUGUUAUGGACAGGCCACUACACAAAUCAUAAUGAAAUGAUCAAACUAACUAUUCAGGAUGAAAAGGAAACUUACAUUAGGAUAUGGUGAAAGUGUCUCGACGGAUGCUUCUACUUUAGAUGAUGCAGCAUCCACCUCGGGAACUGAUUCACUUGUCUCUGCAGAUUCAGGCAGAUUUUUUCUAGUCACUGGAACAGGAAGAAGAGCCAGCCCUAUUUGCUGAAGUUUCAAGGUGAGAAGCUUAGUUACAUGAUUAAUGAAACUGUGACUAUGAAGUAUAUAUCUUGUCGAAAGCAAACAUACAGUUCUCUGAUAUGGCAAGCAAAACACUUUAGUAAGUUCUGAACUUAUGAGCACAUUACCUUAAUGUCACCUACAAGCUCCUUUGGAGCAAUCUCUUUGGUGAGGAACUCAUCAACUUGUUGCAGACUUUGCUUUCUGUCCUGGAAAGUGAAAAUGUCCAACAUAUUAGUGGACCUCUCAAGUUCAAAAAGUUUCUACAGUGAUCAGUAUCAAUGUUAAGUAACUUGUGGAAACCAUAGAGGCCAGUCGCUAGUAAAAUUGGAUUCACCUUCUAUCAUAAAACAAAGCAGUUUUAGAAGUAAAAUUAAAAAAUCAAAUGAUAUAUCUUUCAUGGAAGUUACGUAGGUCACAAAUUAGGGUGGUAGGUUAGUAGGUAGUUGAGUGUCGUCUCGUUAUCCAGCGAGAUAGGCUUCUCCUUGCAUACCAGUAGUAUUAGCACUAUUCUUGUUGUUUCUUGUUACUCAAUUUCUAUUACUACGUGUAGUUUAUUGUGUUUUGGCUGUCAUUUUAUUUUGUUGUGGCUACCCGCUACUGUUCCUUUUCUCUGUAUGUUUUAGAAUACUUCCCCUAUUAUUUGUGAUGUCUUCAUUAAUUCUGUUUUCUCCUUUGAAAUCUGCUUUGAUAUGUGUUACCUGAGCCGCUUCUUUUUUCUCUUUUUAUAUCUGCUUUGAUAUGUGUUACCUGGCUUAGGGUCUUUUGGAAACGGCCUCUUUACCACCACGAGGUAGGGGUAAGGUCUACGUACACUCCACCCUCCCCAGACCCCAUCCAUGGGAUUUUACUGGGUAUGUUGUUGUUGCUGUUGUUGAUAUUUCUUUUACAUGUUAUAAUUUGAGCCUUCAAGUGGUCUUCAGAAAACACAAUUUUAGAUUCAAGAUCUUAUUACAGUUGAAGGAUAUAUUUGUUACUGAAAAAAGGAUAAGAAACUCAUCAGGUAAAAGAAACGAGCAAUGCAAGAUAGAUGAGUGCAGCUAAUGGCCAGAUCGGCAGGACUACAUUUCUGAUAUCCCUUUCGAGGCAAGAAAAGGAUACAUUGUAAAUGGUGCUGACUUACCUCUGCAAAUAGAAGUUUUGUUCUGACUAGUUGGAUAAGUCCAGCUGAACCUAACAGUUGAAGUAAUGUUUCCGCCUGAUAAAAAGGACCAAUGGUGAGCUUUCUAACAAAUUGUGCUCAAUAUAAUGUUCAAGAUAAGAUAUAUUGGAGCCCGACCUCUGAGAACACCAAGAGUCCAAAUGCAGCAGCUGCGGCAACACCCAAACCUACAGCGACAGAAUCAGAACCGUCCUGCAUAUCCACAUUCCACCAAAGUUAUCUCAGUUAAGUCAAAAUGUUACGCCAACAGUAGCAGUAGACUAGUAGUUUUCAACAUAUAGCCAAGUGGAUUUUGAUAAAAUGCAAGUUGAGUAGUCUCUUAAAUAAAAAUGUGAUAUGUCACUUAUAUCUAUCAUUUGUUUUAAAGGGAUGUUAGGUGUUACCUGUAUCUGUCAUCCCAAAACCAUUCACCUAGGAAUUGUUAUAUAAGGAUUGCGGAGUUAAAGUGCAGAAAAUCUACAAAACAGAAAUGUACAACUGUUCCUUGCAUUUUAAAAUAGAAAAAGAAAAUCUUGAUUUGUCCACUCCUAUUAUAUGGUAGGACUUCUAUAGAAAACCAUAGCUAAGAGGCCAGGUUAUAGUCAAUACGACCAUGAACUUUUGGCAUUUUUUGUGCAAUUAGGAAAAACAGAAGUUGUAUGCAUUGAAAAUCCCAGGAAGUGAGAUGUCAACUCAUUAAAUUCUGCCGUGACAUCCUACAUCAACGUCACUCCUAUUGCAUGCAUAUUUACCAUGCCUUUUCCUUCGAUGAGUUUAUAGACUCCAAACAUUACAUUUUACCAAUUUGCAGUUACAGAAACCCCAUAAACUUCUUGGACUCAAAUGGCAUAACCAUAUCUGUAUUUGGGAGGUCAAAUGCAAAGUAACAGUGCUUUAAGAGAGAAAAACAUACCCCAAAAAGACCAUCAAGAGCAUCAGACAGGCCCAGAUCAAGACUAAAUGUUUUCUUAGGAAGUAUCCAAGGGAGGCCACUAUUCUGCAGAAAUUGGAAUUCAGUAUGCUUCACGCCACCAACAUUCUAGGAAAUUCAGAAAGAUAACAAUAUUUUUGAGUAUAACCUUCCAUCCUCGGGGACCUUCAGCACCAUCUUUAAUUGCAUAUGCAGAUUUAAAACCAUUUGCUGUGACAAGCUCUGCAACCAGUUCAGAGUUUCCAUCAAAUCUGGCUUCAUUACAAUCCAGAAAGAAAAAGGAUUAGAGUUAAUUCGUUCAACAAGUUGGCUGAUACAAGCAUAUUUGUGGAGUCUAUUUUUGUAAACAAAUUAUUUUUUAGAAAUUAUGCAAUGCAUGUUAUUUUUAAUAUACCACACUAAACACUACAUAAGAAAUAAUCUCAGUAAAACUAAUGCAAGCAUAACUAAUACCAGCAUUACUAAUACACCAUCACUAUCCUUAUAUACUCUACCAAACGGCCCCUGAUUGGUUAAAGAAUGUAAGCACAUGAUUCUUUGUCUAGUUCAGUUUUAAGGGACAACUUGCGCCAGGUAGCACUAAGAUUCCAAAAAGAUAAACAUAUUGUUAAAGUGUGCAACCAUCUCAUCUAAAAACUUUAAUGAUUAGAAUGAUCACACCUUUAGUUACUUAAUUACGUCUUCAACACGCACCCCUUCACGUGCGGCUGUGACUCUCUUUCUUAGACCAAGUUCCUUGAACAAAGGACCUCUUUUUGCUAUGAAACCAUAUUGAAGUGUGUGAUCACUCUAACUAAAAGUUUAAGUUGUCAGAGAGUACACACUUUUACCUACUUAAUUAUACCUUCAAAAACACAACACUCUACGUACACAAUCAACAUAAGAAUAAUUUUGAAAUCUUACUUGUCUAGAAUGAACAAUGUGGUAUUUUCUGGCUCCUUAAACUUCAAAGCUAGCUUAUUCAAGAACCCUGUCUUAUCUUCACCUUUAUAUACAAUUGUAACUGGCUUCUUCUUGAAACCACUUAUAUCUGGAUUCCCCUCUUGUUUCAAUUCAACAGUGGUUCGUAUAUCUACUAACUCUGAACUCGCAUCAUCUGCCAAUUUUGCAUAAGCUUUCUUAGCAGACUCAACACCCCAUGAUGGCUUAGGCAUUUUACCAAACACCUGAGACACAAUAAAUGGUAAACCCAAAACAGCAAAACCACCAGCUAUAACUAAAGGAUUAUCUGAUACGAAAUCAGUCAAGGUUUCAACAAAUGCAUUUGCAUCAAAAUCAUUAGUACUAGUACUAGUAGUUGAUUGCUGAAGUGCUUCCUCGUAUGUCAAUGCUUUAGCUAAACCUGUAGUGAAAACAGAGGAAAGUAAAACUAAACCCCCUUGAACAUUUCUUGAUAUACCCUCUACUGAUCUUGACAAGUUGGUGCUAAAAUUGGAUGAAUUUUGAAGGUUCUUGAAUUGGAAAGAUGGGAUUUUUUUGGAUUCAUUUCUUCUAUCAGAAAAAACUGAAACAGGGUUUAAUCUUGCUGCAUUGAGAGCCUCCAUAGCAAGAGGACUUUUUUUUGAAAUUUUAGCAAAAUCUUGAUAUCCCCUAGUGAAAAGUUGUAGAUAUGUGGAAGGAUCAUGGGGCUGGUGAUUAAGUGGGCCAAUUUUGUAGAUGAAUAGCUUUUUUUGUGUGUGUGAUUUGGCAUUUUUGAGUGGCCAAGAAUUGCCAAAGGAAAUCUUUUAUGGAACUCUACAUUUUUCAGUGCUACCAACUUCAACUUUUGCUUCAUUUGCAGUACACUGUACUUUUAUUGCUGACACAGAAUGAGCUUCCUCAUUGGCUUAAGUUAAGCAACAGAAAAUGUUUUUUCUUGGGAAUGUGUCAAAAAAAUUUUUGUCCGGUGAAAAAUAUUUACCAUCAAACUCAGUGUAAGUGUAGUGUCCGGGGCUAUCUUGCGAGCACCUUGACUAAUAUCUAGGAAUAUUUAUCACCUCCCAUCGAGCAACAAGUACCAAGCAGAAACCAAAAUGAAAAAUACAGGCAACAUAGGAGAAAAAAUAUUGUUCUGUUGGGCGUUUUAUCAAACAGCUAAUCUGCAGUUUCGACAACCCAUUUAACACAAACUUUCUUCCCUCUCAAAUCUUUUCAUCAUGAAGGACGCGUCAAAAUAUUAAUUAAAAGAAAGAUACGAGUAAAACCAAAAAUUAGGGGAGUCAACCUAUUGCAUAUAUACAUAAAAUUAAAUUAUUAACUAUAUAGGAUAAUUUUUCGACAAAAAUAUGGAUUUGCAAAGAGAAAAUAAAAGUGCAAUUUUUAAGGUACAACAUUUAAGAGUAGAAUUCAAAUAAAGAUUUUUCUCUUAUUUAAUUUUGUGCUUAGUUUUCUCCAGGGGCCCAAAUUAAUUCUUUAAAAACAACAACUAUGCUGUCCGUUUAUCCCACAUCGGUUAAACACUGCAGUGAGGAACUGUUAUUAAUGUUGAGUAUGGAUAUACAAUAUCACGACCUUACUUGAACAGGAUCUGUUCUAUAGGCUCGUACCACUGUAUCCUUGAUUUCUAAGGAGACAGGAAACCAAGUCUGGUUGAUGAGACGUGGCCAUUAGACUAGAGCGUGAUUAACAAUCUCUGUGGCUCAAUGGGUCAUGGAGCCGUAGAGGAUCGUUCUCAGCUCCAACUAUGGUGCUGGGAUGGUCUAAUGGCUGUCUGACAGACUCUCAACUCUUUUUUUCCCUUGGUUGUGUCUAUUUGUAGACAUUUUGCCUUGUGUGAAACUGCCAUAGAUGACUGUUCAAUCCAUGAAUGUAUUGUCAAGGUUUUAUCAACUAGGAUUUAGGAGUAGUCAUUUAAAAAAAAAAAUUAAACAUAAAGUUUAUGGGUGUGUUUGGUACGAAGGAAAAUGUUUUCUUGGAAAACAAGUUGAUUUUUGACUUAUUUUCUCAUGUUUGGUUGAUGAGUAGAAAAUAUUUUUCGAAAAAGAUUUUUAGUGUUUUAUUUAUGAAUAAAAAAAUAUUUUUGAGAAAUAUGUUUUAUUUUUACUAGAGUAGAAAAUAAUUUUUGAAAUUGAAAAUAUUUUUUAAAAACAAACUAAAUUUUUUUUUGGGGGUGGGGGCUGGUAGGGGCGGGGNNNNNNNNNNNNNNNNNNNNNNNNNNNNNNNNNNNNNNNNNNNNNNNNNNNNNNNNNNNNNNNNNNNNNNNNNNNNNNNNNNNNNNNNNNNNNNNNNNNNNNNNNNNNNNNNNNNNNNNNNNNNNNNNNNNNNNNNNNNNNNNNNNNNNNNNNNNNNNNNNNNNNNNNNNNNNNNNNNNNNNNNNNNNNNNNNNNNNNNNNNNNNNNNNNNNNNNNNNNNNNNNNNNNNNNNNNNNNNNNNNNNNNNNNNNNNNNNNNNNNNNNNNNNNNNNNNNNNNNNNNNNNNNNNNNNNNNNNNNNNNNNNNNNNNNNNNNNNNNNNNNNNNNUUUAAUUUAUUUCUUUUUAGGGGUGGUGGUGGGGGUGGUAGGGGGCUGGAGGGAGGGGGGUGGGUCGGGGUGAGGAUGGGAUAAAAAAAUUGAAGUUGAAAAUAUUUUUUUAAAAUAAGAUUUAAAUUUACUUUUUCAACAAAAAAAUUGUAAUUUGAAAUUGGUGGAAAGUUUUGGAAAAUGUUUUCCUUGAUUUUUGAAGGGAAGUCAUUUUCCUUGAAUUUGAGGAAAAUGAGUUGAUUUGGAAAACAUUUUCCAAAACAUUUAACCCAAUCAAACAUGAGAAAAUUGGAAAUGUUUUCCUUCAUUCCAAACACACCCUAUAAGUUAAAUGUUGUUUUAUACCACAUACAUAUACGGCUAGUUUGGUGUGACAGAAAAAUGAUAACUUAUUUUGAGAUUAAUUUUAGGAUGAACUUAUUCCGUGUUUGAAUGGAAUAAAAUCGUGAGAUAAUUUAUUUCGAGAUUGUAGUGUUAUUUUCAUUCCACAUUGAGGGUAGGAAAAUUUCGGGAUAAAUUUUAAGAUGAACUUAUCUCAUGUUUGGUUGGGAUAAAAUCGCGAGAUAACUUAUCCCAUGGAAUAGUUCUUUUGAUUUCAACGUACAUAUACUCAUAUAUACUCAUAUAUAAUAGAGAAUUAUGACUUCAGUUUUCCAACAAAUGUCUCAAGAAUUAGAACUAAAACACUCGUAAUAAUUUAGGGAUAAUAUAAUCAGUGAUCUAAUUAAUCAUGUGACACAUUUUUUCAACUCAAAAGCAAGUUCAUCUAGUGCUUUAGUUGAAGAACCAUCUUCACUCAAUACUUUUUUUGCUGCAUCUUUUAGCUCUUUCAUUCUAAUACACACUUCUUUUCCCUCUUCACCUUCCAUCAAUUCUUUCACCACUUCACUAAUUUCCGAUCGCCCAACGAUACCAUUGUCACGAAUUUUCGGCCUUAGUGCCACUUUUAAAUCCUCAGUUAACAUCACCGCGUUUGUUCUUUGUUCUGCAAAGAGAGGCCAAGCAAUAAGUGGAACGCCACAAACCACACUCUCCAAAAUCGAGUUCCACCCACAAUGAGUCAGAAAUCCACCAACCGACACAUGGCUAAGAACUUGAACUUGUGGUGCCCAAUUAGGCAACACAAGACCUAACCCUUUGGUCCUUUCGAAGAACCCAAUAGGUAAAAAAUCAAGAGGGUUAGUUGAAUUUUGGUUAUUGAAAUAAGUGCCAUUUGGAAUUCUAUCAUUUGGACAUCUAAUUACCAAUAAAAAUCUCUGUCCACUCAUUUCUAAUCCUAUUGCCAGUUCAAUUAUUUGUUCAUGUGAGAGGGUCCCACCACUCCCAAAUGAAAUGUAGAUUACUGAUCCACGUGGCUGCUUAUCAAGCCAUGUCAAACAUUGUGACACGUCAUCAUCAAUUUUUUUAUCCAUUAGUGUAAGUGGUCCAAUUGAGUAAAUUUUUGGCUUAUUAUUAUAUGCCUCUUGUAGAUAUUUAAUUGUUUCAGGUUCCAAAUCAAUGAAGCUGUUUAAGAUAAUGCCAUGAGCCAUUCUGAACCUCUUAGUAUGGUGAAGAACCCAUUUGUAUGCAUCAUCUUUUCUAUUGUGAAGUGGGUCUGGAAGAUCCUUUCCGUGUAUAGGUCUGCAUCCUGCGGUUAAAGAAAGAUUUAUUUAAAUCUCGAAAUACGAAAUGUGUCAGGUAAAUUGGGACAGCAGGAGUAUAAUAUUUGUGAAUAUAAAAGCUAGCAUGUUCAAAUGACAUGUACUCGGAAAGAGUUACAUUUAAUUAGAUAUACAUAUUCAAAGCUAAACUAAAGUGUUUACUUGUCAUCUGUCAUCAAGUUUAAAUGUUUAUUUAAUUAUGUAUGAUGACUAAAAUGAAAUAAAGUGAAUAUUAAAAAAUAUAAAAAUAUAGUAAUGGCUUUUUUUUUCUAGUAACAAGUUAAAAGGAAAAAGUGUGUCAUAUCAAAACAACAAACUAAAAUUAAAAUUUUAGAUUCGUCUCUGACCUGGAAUACGAACAGGCUCUUGCAAGUCUUUAUACUCACAACGAACAAUUUCAUCAAGCUCCGGAAAAUACAAAUCUAGAGACAACAUCGUAGCCGUGGUAGUGUAGAACAUAUAAGGUGACACAUUGAACUCAUUUGCUAAAUCAAAUGCAUCAGUACCAAAUAAAUCAACCACAAAGGCCACUACUCUGUUAGAUUCGAUAACAGACUUAAAAAUCUCACGUAGAGAAGAAAGAGAACGAGUUAUAGUAAGGGAAAUACGCGUUUCCAUAAGAACAUCAUCUGAUAAAUCAUCGAAGUUAACAGGAGGGAGAAGGAGAUAAUUGAUGCCUGAGGGAAGGGUGUUGAGGAAAGUGUUUUGAGAUUUCGAGAUUGGGCCAUCAGUAGGGAGGAUGAGUGUUAUAGAGAAGUCGUGUUGUAAAAUGAGUUGUUUGGCGAAUUCAACGAGAGGGAUUAAGUGACCCAUGCCGGGUGUUGGUAGCAUGACUAUAUGGGGAUUUUGUGAUUGUGAUAGGGUUUGAGUAUUUGCCAUUGUUGAAGAGAUGAAGGAACUUGUAGUAAUGAGAAUAUAUAUAUAGACAAGACAAGUACGGUAGGGUGAGUUGUGUGAGGUUAUUUUUCUCGAUAUUUUGUACUCUCAUAUUUUUAUACUGAUCAUCUCCUUUUGUGAAUGUUGGUUGGUUGAUUGAACCAAGAUAAAUGUUUGUGUCUUUAGAUAUAUUUCUCGUUUGUGUUCUUACUCAAGAUCUAUCGAAGUUUUGUCAACUUUCGCAUGACACCUAAUUAUUUCGGUCAUAUCAAUUAGCAGCCCUAAAAGGUAUUAUAUUUAUUUUUUUUCUCCAAAUGAAAGACAAUAAGACAAUUGACAGAAGUUUUUUUGGCUAAAUUAUAUAAAAGACUUGUGGAACUUUGUCUUGUUGCUAAACAAAGAGGAUGGGGUUUGUGCGAUUCAGAAACAUUACAAGAAUCGAUGCAAGAGAAAAAGCCUAUGCCUUGGAAUAAAUAAGACCUACAGACAAUACUAAAAAAAAUACAAAAAAAGAUGGGCUUUCGGUCCAAAAAAUCCAGGGAAAAUCGACCGUCAAUUUAUUUAUUUUUAAUAGAAAACCAACGGGUAUCCGUCAGUUUUUUUUUAUGUGUAUUUUAAUUUUUUAAAAGAAAAUUGACACAGUUCUUCAAAAAAGAAAUUAUUUACAAAAACUGAAAGGCAUGGUUGGUUUUUAAAGUGCAAAUUAAAAUUACAGUUGAAGAGUAUAAAUAAAAAAAACACUCAGUUGGUUUUGUUCCAUUGUUUUAGUAGUGUGAAGAUAUCGAUUUUUGAGUUGUUGGAUUAAUAGAUGAAAAGUAAUUAAGAGCUUCUUUUGAAUUUGACUUGUUUUAGAUGUUUUAAGUCAAAAUAAUUUUUUUUUGUAGUAUUAUAUGAUUUGAAUAAAAUAAGAAAAUAUUUAUAAACAUUUAUUUUUAAAUCAUACAUAAGCCAUAAAGAUAAUUCAAACGAAUUCUAAAUCUCAAUCUACAAUUAAAAAAAAAAAGUGGGGUCAAAUUAGGUACGAAAGUAAACUAUUAACCCAUUUUAUUAGUAGCAUUAUUUCCCCAAUUGAUAGAGACUAAAGUGUAAUUAGUGGACUAACUAAUAGAUGACAAAUAAGUUUCAAUUCACAUAGAAAGUGGACCCAAUUAUUAGAUAUAAGAAAGUAAAACAUGAAUCAUAUCAUUUUUAAUACGUCAUCUGUACUUAAUUAUUUGUUAAUAUUUUUUAUUGUCCUUAAUUACUUGUCUAUUUUGACAAAUCGAGAAAGGACAAAUUUUUUCUUACCUAUUAUAUCCUCAAUUAAUUAUUUUGAAAAAUGUAGAACUUUUUGAAAAUUUUAAAUUUUUAAUUCAUUCACUUCAUAAUUAAUAAGGGUAAAAUGGUAAAUUCACUAUAUCAAUAAUUGUUUUCUUAAUAUGUGUGUCAAUUCAAAAGUGGACAAAUAAUUAGGUUCAAACUCUCAUUUUGUCCCAAAUGAUUGAAAAUGUAAUUGUCUUUAAAAUAUAUUUAUAUAUUAAAUAUAAAAAUAAGGGAUAAGGGUCUGAAAAAUACUUCAACUUUGGUCGGAUUUGCUGUUGUGAUACUAACUUUGAUAAGGACCUAUUACCCCAACUUUGGUCGGAUUUGUUGUUGCGAUACUAAACUUUCAUGAGGACCUAUUACCUCCCUAGACUAUUUAAUACCGUAUUUUUUACCCCCUGAACUAUUUAAUAGUGUAUUUUAAAGGUAUAUAUGUGCCCACGUGGACACAUUACUAUUUAUAAUUUUGCAUUAUUUUUUAUGUCCACGUGGGAAAAUAUAUAUGUUUAAAAUACGGUAUUAAAUAGUCUAGGGAGGUAAUAGGUCCUCAUGAAAGUUUAGUAUCGCAACAACAAAUCCGACCAAAGUUGGGGUAUUUUUCAAACCCUCAUCCCUAAAAAUAAUAUAACAUAAAAUAUUUCAUCUUGGACCAAUUUGAUUGAAAGAGCUACAAGCAAACACAUAAUUAACGUUUAAAAUCUCAACUUCUGAAUUUAAUCUUAGUAGAUUCACUUCUUAAUUAAUAUCUUUUCAUUUAUGUGAUUUUAAUCUCUUUAUCUUUGUUUAAUUUAUUUUACACUACUGUAAAUAGUAGAAUAUCUCUAUUAUGAUUAUAUUUUAACUCAUCACCUUUUAAACAAUAAAAUAUUUUGCGAAAUUUAGUAAAAGUUUAUGCAAAUAUGAAAUAUACAUGAUAUCAUGUUCUAAUUUUAGUUAGGUGAAUUAAAAUAAUAACUGAAAUAUUGGUCAUAUUUGUACUGAUAAAUGCCAAUAAUAUUGGUGAAAGUUUUUCUUGCAGGUGACCGUUGUUUUAACGGAUAACUAAGAUUAGAAAACUCUUGGUAGUUGUGCCUUGCUUCACAUGAUAAAAUAGUAUACAAUGAUGUCAUGAAAUGUCUAAAUUUAUGUAUCGAACCGUUGUGGUAGAGUUGUAAGUAUUUUUUCAUCUUUAAUCAGAUGUUUUGAGUUGGAGUUUCUAUGGGCAAAGAGUUGUUUUUGUUAGAAAGUGUUUUACCCAUCAAUGUGAGAUUUUCUGUUGUGAAUAUUUUGAACUUUAAUGUGGAUAUCGAAUACCGGAUAAAAUAAGAAUAAAAAAAAUGUCUAAAUUUAUGUUUGUUUCCGUCGGCAUUAUUUUUUACUUUAUUUGAAAUUAAUAGAAUUAGAAUUGGAGUUGGAGUUAAAAAUAAUGUUGUGUUUGAUUAUGUUUUUUGCAAAAAUAUAAUAUUUGGAAUGUACUAAAUACAACUUCAAUGAAUUUUGUUAGGUACAAAAGCGAAGAGAUAAAUUUCAGAAUAAAAUGUAGGAUUAUUAUGCAUUUGAUUAGGGAUAUUAGUUAAUCCUUAAAUUACUUAUUCCACAAUUAUCUCAUAUAUAUAUGAGGAAUUAAUAACUAAUCACAUAAAAUAACUUUAUAUUAUUCAUACUAAACGACCAAAAGUAAAAAAGUGAAAUAAAAGACAAGCUUUAAGCUAUUUCCAAAUUUAAAAUUCAACCUCAAUUUAAAAUUUAAAAUUUUCAUAGUCAAAUAUAAUUUUUCAAAUAAAGUAGAAAAUUAUAUUUUUUAAAAGUAAAUAAUUUCUAUGAUCAAAGUUCAAACAAGUCCUUAGUCAAUACUGAUGAGGACAUGCUAUCUAUUAGUUUGUUUUGCAAAUCAUGUAUUUAUUCUAUUAUGAUCGACUGAAAGACAUUGAUGAGGAAUACUCUCAUAUUUAAUCGAUAUUGAUCAUAACUUCAUUUAUUCAUCGAGUCUUGGAGAUCAGGGGCGGACCCACAUGGUCUUCAGGGGGUUCACCCGAACCCCCUCGACAAAAAAUUACACUGUAUAUAUAAAGUAAAUUUUUGUAUUUCUGUAAAUAUAUAUAUUUUGAACCCCCUCAAUAACAAAGAGAAGCUGAUGGUGUAGUGGUAAGUCCCCCUAAAAUUAAGUUGUGCGUCCGUGGUUCGAAACCCAGUGAAAUCGUUUUAUUUUUUUCUUUUUUAGUUUCAGUAUUUUUUUUGUUUUUUUUUUAAUUUUCAGUUCUGUUUUUCAUUUUUUUAGUGUUUUUUUUACUUUAAAAAAACAUGCUAAAAGUGGGGUUUUAAACCCAAAAAAAUCAAGGUUCUCAUUUCUAAAGGCUUAUUUACACGUUUAUACUUUUAUUUUUCGAACCCCCUGAACGAAAAUCCUGAGUCCGCCACUGUUGGAGAUCAUCAUUUAUAUUAAAAUCAAUCGUUAUACUAUUUUCUAUCGUACGUUAUACUAUUACACAAAACGAAUGGGAGUUCAUAUAGUUUAUUUAUGUGAUGCUAAAAAAUAAAAACAUAAAGAAAAUUAGAGUUGAGUAAUAUUGCAGGCGCCUACAUUAAUGGUCAACUUGGAAGAAAUUUAUGGAAUCUACAACUCGCCAAAUAAGUUGCUAAAAAUAAAUGGAAAAAUUACAUAAUAAAGCGAUCAUGUUUUAUGUAUUUAUUAUAGACUAUUACUAUAAUUUAAAAGAAUUAAAUUGUAUAAUUAUAUUUUAAAGUUUUAUAACAAAUUUCUCCUCUCACUCGCCUUUCUAUUCUCUGUAUCGUUUCCUCCUUCUCUAUCUCUCACUUGAAUUAAAAUUCAAUAAGAAACAAACGACCUGAGAGUUCAAACGGGCUAUUACUAAUAAUGUUGUUCAUCCUAUAUUCCUACGAUACUUAGAACAAAAACUUUGAAGAACUUGAUAAGAAACAACAAAGUUUAAAGAGUAUUUCAAAACUAAAAAAUUAAAACCAGUAGAGAAAAUAAAAUCAAAAACAGAUUAGAAACAAUAUAUAAAAUAUUUUUCUCAAAGAAGACUACUUCUUCCUUUUUUUCUCUUUGAUUUCAUAUCCAGACUCUCAAUAUGCCUGAACAAGAGAGAGAUAUAAUAUUGUAUCAAUUGUAUUCUGAAAGAGUACAAACCAUAUGGCAUAAAUGUAUAAAAAGGACAAAAUAAAAUUAAUUACAGUGAUAUAAAUUUUUAGUCAGUUGAAGAUACACUCACAUACUUAGUGAACACACAAGGAAUAAAUACAGUACUUGAUAUAAUUGUAUUUGAUGAUAAAUAUCCAACCACCUUAAAAAUCAUGUUGCCCAUCCCAGCAAGUCAUAAAUACCUAGCCAACGCUAUGAAGAGGGUCAAAAAAGAAAAAAAACAUGAAAAUCACAAAACAACCUUGAGGAUCGUUACAAUAAUAUACAUACAUCUAGUUUUCUACGCGUGAUUUUCUCUCAAAAUAUGAUUUGAGAUAUUUGUGGUACACUUUGUGUAUGAAAUCUAUAUAAAUUAAAUUAUAUAUACUAGUGUCUUAAAAAAAUAUUAAGAAAUGAUGUGUAUGAGGAGGUUGCAAUAACUGCCUGUAGGUCUGUUGUUCCCUGCUGUUUUGAUCUUUUGAGAAUUUAUUAGUACAAACAAGGCCAAAAUGUUUGAAAACUGAAAGAAGAAAAAAGAAUAUGGCAAAUUAUCAACUGCAUUAUAUUUCAUUCUUCAUGAACCCUGAAAUAAAAAGGGAACCUUGCAGUAUACAAUAUAUUUCAAAAAUCUCAAAGGGGAAGAGGGAAUGUUAUCAUGAAGUAGCGAUGAUUUAUUGAGCCUACUCUAAUUUAUGUGCAGCCAUGGGGGUAUAUGUAUAACCCAACUUCUGAACUUAUUCUCAAUGCUCUCUCAAAUUCAUCCAACUCAAUUUUACGCAUUGCCUCAUCGAUAUCUCUCACGUCAAUCUCACCUUUUUUGAAGGGUCCUUUUCUAUUACAAUAACCUCCAGUGUUCCAUUCACCAUUCUCAAAGUGAUCCGGUGUUGUGGUCCUAAAGAAAGUAAACGCCUUGUGCUUCGAUAUUGUGAUGUGUUUCAGAGUCGAGUUCAGUGCUUUGCGAUAUGCAUAUUCAAAUCCCACCUCAGUUAUGUUCUUACCCUUGCAGUUGUGGCAACCAACAAUCUUACUGUUCUCAUAGUAAACUGCAGUUUUCAAGUACCAUUUCCCUCCAGCUAUAACUACAUAAUCAAAAUUGUCAAACUGUUGAGUCCAAACAUCAUCAAGUUUGUCGAUAUGGAGCUUGAUUAUAUCCGUUGAAACUCCAUUGUCAUCUUCAAAUAUAGUGGCUUUUACAAGAAAAGGUGACCAGACAACUGAAAGAGUUAAGUCAUGAAUUGGAAAAUACCAUCUUCUGCUUUUGUAUUGCUUGUCAUGGUAAACCUCUACACCUUUUUCCUCCUGCACGACGUCUUAAACAUGAAUUCAGAUACUGUUGCUUAACUAGAAUGUGAAUAGUCCAAAUAUUUCAACACAAUAAGAAAACAGUUGCUUCUGUGGGUGAGAGAGCUACUCGAUUUAUCAGCAACGUGGAAUUACAAUCUUCUCUAAAACCAAUGAAGUGUCAUAGCAAUUCACCUUUUCGAGUCAAUUUCACGUAUGGUCACAAAAUAUUGUUCGUCACAUUAAGUCACAAAACUAUAUUAUCACAUCAGUGUAAAUGAAUUAAGUGUAGAUUACUCAGAAAUUUCGAGCAGUAUUUAGAAUGGUUGGACUAGUUUGGUAUGAAGAUGGUUUUUAACUGAUGAAUUGUCAUUACUUACAAAAGAAGUGAGAGCCAAUAACCAAAUAUGAGAUGGUUUGCUUAUCUCCUAAGAAAGGCCCAAAUUUAUGAUCUGAGAGACACAACCACCAGCUUAUGAAACAAGACUGUCCAACAAAUUUUAGCGUGUACAAUUAAUCGGGACAAUUUUUAUUUUUUUUUCCUUUUUGAGAUGUAUAUUGACCGUUUAAGAGCAAUUAUUGAUGUUAAUAAGUAGUUCAAGGAGAACAUCUAAACCAUGACGAUGAUAGUUCCACCAGCUAGCAAAUUUUGGACUUUACCAUCAUUUGAAGAAUGACUUAAGCAGAACAAAAGCUGUGAAGGAAAGAAUAGUGUUUUAGAAUUGGGGUAGGAGGUAUUACAUUCAUUUGUUUUAGUAUGAAGGCGAGGUGCAAGCCUCGAGAUAUGGGGUAUAAGUUCCAUGAAUCUUUAGUGUUUCAAUUUUUACUUCAAUAAAAUAGCAUAAAAACACAAAAAUGUAGAUAAUAUAUUAAAAGUUAAAGAAAAUUAAGAGAGCUUAAUAGGAAACAAAAUAUCUUGCAUACUUUUGCAAGUAUAAACAAUACAGUUGGGCACUUGGGGCAUUAGGAAAGCAAUCAAUUUCCUUGUGACGCACAAUGAGGGCUUGGUUUUGUCUCAAAGCAAAGGAAAGCAGUCUAUUUGAUGUUCUCCUAAAAGAGCCAAAAUAGCUAUGGCUGCAAAGUCAGCACCACCCUUUUUCUAUCUCAUAAGUCAUACGUCACUUUCUUGUUCUAUAUCGACGUCAUCAUUUAGACACAACACAGUCUAAUUGUGCAUAGUUCCUUUCUUUGAGGGUUAGCUUCCUUCUCAUCUAGCUUGAGAUCAUCCUGAUGGAUUCAUUUCAACUAGUCUGGUUUACUUUCUUGAGUUCACUUUCGAAGCUCUAGUUAUGUGAAUUUUUUUGGAUCGACCAAUUAACUAAUGGAUCAAUAUAUCAAGAACGUGUUUAGCUUCUCUUUGAGCUUCCCUUGCUGUCCACCCCACAACCCACACACACCACCACCGCUUCUAGUACACGUAAAACCUAUGCAAAUCAAGAACUCACUACAGAGUACAAACUCACCCCAAACUAGAAAUAGACUAAAAAAAACAGAAAAAUCGCCACACAAGUAAAAGUAUAGCAGCUAGUUCAAGUACAACUGUGUCAUUCUGAUGGUCGAAGCUAGAAAUGUACCUGAGAGAGAAUACAGAGCAAUGACUGCACAUGAUUGUGCAUAAUUGAAUCACCAAUGAAGGCUAAUGAUUUGUGUCGCGUCAUAUCAAGAAACCUCUUGGGAUUGAACUUAGGUAGCUCACAAUCUCUUGGCUUCCAUCUCCAGUAAAGAUAGCCAGUAUCAGGCCUCCCAUUUCUCAUACAAUUUUGGUGAGCUUCAAUGGAAUAGCAAGUGUGAUUAGUGUAUUAUGGACCAGUGGUAUCUGGUACCCAAUCUCCUAUAUAUAAAUCAAAUUUUCCUGCAAAAAUAUAUACACUAUCAAGUCAAUAACUAUGCAUAGCAUCCUAACAUAGUAACAUGUUAAAGAUUGUAAUAGAAACCUGCUAUAAUCAGUUAAAUCACACUUAUAGUAUACAAAUUCUUCACACUGUCAGCGAAUAUAUCUUAAAUCCAAUAUGAAAAUAUAUCUUGUGAAGGAUCAAAUGAAUCAUAUCAACUACAAAAUUAGGUUCUUAUUAUAAAAAAAAAAAGUUAAAAUUUUAAUAUUAUAGGUCCAAAAUUAAUUCUUAUAUAUAUAUAUAUAUAUAUAUAUAUAUAUAUAUAUAUAUAUAUAUAUAUAUAUAUAUAUAUAUAUAUAUAUAUAUAUAUAUAUAUAUAUAUAUAUAUAUAUAUAUAUAUAUAUAUAUAUAUAUAUAUAUAUAUAUAUAUAUAUAUAUAUAUAUAUAUAUAUAUAUAUAUAUAUAUAUAUAUAUAUAUAUAUAUAUAUAUAUAUAUAUAUAUAUAUAUAUAUAUAUAUAUAUAUAUAUAUAUAUAUAUAUAUAUAUAUAUAUAUAUAUAUAUAUAUAUAUAUAUAUAUAUAUAUAUAUAUAUAUAUAUAUAUAUAUAUAUAUAUAUAUAUAUAUAUAUAUAUAUAUAUAUAUAUAUAUAUAUAUAUAUAUAUAUAUAUAUAUAUAUAUAUAUAUAUAUAUAUAUAUAUAUAUAUAUAUAUAUAUAUAUAUAUAUAUAUAUAUAUAUAUAUAUAUAUAUAUAUAUAUAUAUAUAUAUAUAUAUAUAUAUAUAUAUAUAUAUAUAUAAAAAUUAAUUCUUAUAUAUAUAUAUAUAUAUAUAUAUAUGAAUUUGUUAAAAUGCCAAAAGUGCUACCGAUUAGGCGAUAAUCACUUAGAGAUGUUAUCUAAUUUUAGAAAGAAAAAUAAAACAAGAUAAAUUAUAAUUCAAAUUUUUAACCUCACGUAGAGAGGUGCACUUAGUCAUCGUCGCAUUAUAUGAUACUCCGAAUGCGGAUUCACACAUCUAUACUUCAAUGAUUUAAAAAAAAUACAACACUACUAUACACGAUCUCAGAAGAGGAGUAUGGGUUCACGUGAACCCGGUGAACCCCAUUGAGAAUGAUUGUUCUUUGUAAGAUCAUCGACUCAAAAGAAAUCUAUAACAACAACAAGAACAAAUCGAUAGUAUAAUCUCACAAUUGGGGUCUCGCGAGGAUAGACCUUGAUAACAAUUGAGAAAUCAGAGACCAAAAAGAGUUGCAAACUAUUCUGUAUUUCUUAUCUUUACAAUUGAUAAACUAUCCACUAUUUAUAUACAAAGGUACAAGCAUGAUUCUAGCACAAUAUCAUAUCAUAUCUUGCACAAUAUCAACGGUGUGAUUGUGCUUAGUUAAAUUAGAAUAUUGUCCCGGAUAUUUAGAAUCAUAUUAGAUAUUUGGAAUCAUAUCAGAUAUGAUUUGGAAUCAUAUCAAAUCAUAUCUGAUAUGGUCAAUAAACCUUACCCCAAACUUUGUAAGCUACAAAGGCUAUUUCUAUAUUUAUUUCUCGAAUAUAAUGGCAGUCCACUUCAAUGUGCUUUGUGUUCUCAUGGUGGACCAGAUUUGUUACUAUUUGUAUUGCACUAGUAUUGUCAGCAUGUAAUGUAGUGGAGCCAUCAACAGAGAUAUGAAGUUCUGCCAUCAAUCGAUGUAUCCACACAAUUUCAGAGCAAGCGGUUGACAUUGAUCUAUAUUCUGCCUCCAUUGAUGAUUUUGAAAUUCUUGGUUGCUUCUCGCACUUCCAUGAGACAAGUGAUGAUCCGAUUAACAUACACCAUCCUGUCGUAGACUUUCGAGAGUUCGGACAUCCUGCCCAAUCUGCAUCUGCAUACCCUUCGAGAUUUAGAGAUGAUGUUGAAUGAAAGAAAAGACCUCAAUUAAUUGUACUCCAAACAUAGCGAAUGAUUCUAAGGAGGGCAGAAAAAUGAUGAUGGCAAGGAUUUGUAACAAAUUGGCUCAAGACUUGAACUGGAUAAGAGAUGUCAGGUCUUGUUAUUGUCAAAUAAAUUAGACAAUCAAUGAGUCUCCUGUACAAUGUUAGUUCUGCAAGAGGGUCACUAUCAUCAUUUUUGUACUUCACAUUGAUCUCCAUAGGUGUGUGAGCUACCUUCUGAUCACUUAGACAUACUUGUGUGACAAGAUCCUCUACAUACUUCCUUUGGCUUAGCAUGAUACAAUCCUGCAAAUAUUCAACCUCCAACCCCAAAAAAUAUGUUAACCUGCCAAAGUCCUUCAUUUUGAAAGCUGCAUUAAGAAAAAUCUUGUGUUGUGCAAUUCCAUUCUCAUCAUUGCCGUUAUAAUCAUACCAUCCACAUGCAAUAGUAAAAUUGUCAUACCAGUAUUGGAGUGCCGGAUGAAUAAUGAAUAAUUAGAAACAGAUUGAGAAAAUCCAACAUUUAUGAUGGUAGAUCGAAACUUCUCGAACCAUGCACGUGGUGCUUGCUUGAGACCAUAAAGAAAUUUCCGAAGACGACAAACCAUAUCAGGUUGAGCUUGGUUGUACCCUGGAGGAGGCUUCAUGUAUAUAACCUCAUGUAGUUCACCAUGCAAAAAUGCAUUUUUCACAUCCAUUUGAUGAAGUUUCCACCGUUUGAUGGAUGCUAUAUAUAGUGAGCAACACACGAAUUGUCGUCAUCUUUGCAAUAUGAGCAAAAGUCUCCUCAUAGUCCAAGUCAUAUUCUUGUUUAUAUCCUUGAGCUACUAGUCGAGCUUUGACCUCUCCAAUGUGCCAUCAGACUUCAUUUUCACAGAAUAAAUCCAUUUGCUCCCAAUAACAGAAGCUUUAGCCUGUUUGGAUAUCAAAUCCCAUGUAUGAUUUUCUUCUAAAGCUGGAAGUUCCUUCUUCCAUUGCCUUUUUUCCAGCAGUCAUGACUUGAUGCAUGUUGGUAAGUAGUUGGGACAAAAAUAUAAUUCAAAGUAGCAAGUAAGGCAUACGAUCGACCGUAUCUACUUGGAGAGUAUCCAUACCGAUUUGGGACAGAUGUUUUACGUUCAGAGUGACGAAGAGAAUGAAUGAAAGAAUUUAUUUGGUCACUUAGUACAGGUUCACCAUCAGAAUAAUCAUUGUUGUCAAAUGAGUCACUGAAAGAGGUAUUCAAUGAAUUAUGUGACAAAUUACUAUUACCUGAAUUAUCUGUAGGGAAUGCAUAUGAUUGAUCAGGAUCAUCAGUAAUGCCAUUAGGGUCUUCGUUGGGAGAUGUGGGAUUUUGUUCCUGCUAAUUCUCAAACUUGUACAGAAAGGAGACAGAUUCUGAUUUUGUUGAAGUGGUAAUAGGGUAAGCAAGCAGAUGCUCAAAGAAAUUACAUGCAUAACUGUCGUCUAGAAGAAUCAUAACAAAGACAGCCCUUUUGAACAUCAUUAUAACCCAGGAAAACACAACUCACAGCUUUAGCAGAUAAUUUAUGACGUUCAUGUCUAGGUAAAUAGACAAAACACAACACAACCAAAAACUUUUAGAUGAGAAUAAUCAGGGAGUUUACCAAAAAGAAUGGAAUAUGGACUAUCAUCUUUGUUAAUGGUAAUGGUGUGUCUGUUUAUUAAAUAAACAGAAGUUUGGAUGGCUUCAACCCAAAAUAUUUUAGGAACGUUUGAUGUAUCAAGAAGAGCUAAUGUGGUUUUCAAAACAUGUCUAUUUUUUCUUUCUACAACUCCAUUUUGCUCAGGUGUGUAUGGACAAGAGUGUUGAGAAGUAAUGCCUCUCUCUUUGAAAAAAUCUAUGAGUUCUGACUUCAUGUAUUCCCCACUUGAAUCAGAUCGAAAAAUUUUGAUUUGUUUAUUGAACUGAGUCUCAACAUAGGUGACAAAUUAUUGUAUGAUUUUAGGAACUUCUCUCUUGUUUCUAAAAAAGAAUACCCAUGUAUAUCGAGAAACAUGAUCAAUAAACAAGAUAAAAUAUUGAUACCCCAAUCUAGAUGAAAUUGGUGCAGGACCCCAUACAUCACUAUGAAUCAAAUCAAAAGUAGAGUCGCAUGAAGUAGUACUACAAGGAAAAGGCAGUUUAUGACUUUUGGAUUUAGCACAAUUUUCACAAGGCAAUUUUGAUGAAAAAACCCAUGAUUUCUUAUUCAAAUGAAGACAAUAUUGUAAAAUGGAAGAAAAUUUUUGAGCAUGUGGAUGUCCAAGACGAUGAUGCCACAAGUACCACAAUUUAUUUGAGUUAGUGAUGUCUCAUUUAGUGGCAGACAGAUAACAAGCAUGGUGAGGUGUUUCAGACAUGGACAACUGGAACAUUCUCCCAACUUUACGACCCUUGACGAUCAUCUUCCCUGUCUCCAGAUUCUGAACAACACAACCAAGAUGUGAGAAAAUAACAAGACAAUUUUGUUCCACCAACUGUCCAACUGAAAUAAGAUUAACAGUAAGUUUAGGGACAAAAAGGACAUUAGUGAAGCAAGAUGAUUUUACAAUCUUAGAGGCAGGUAAAGUAUCACCAUUCGCUGUGAAAAUAAGAUGAUUUUAUGAUGGAGUUGAUAAAGAGUGUAAAUUAUGGAUAUCUCUUGUCAUAUGGUUAGACGCAGCCGAAUCUAUAUGUCAAACUUUUGAAUUCUUAUUUAAAUUCUUAACAGGAUAGGCAACAAUGAGAGCACUAGAAAUAGCCCCAGGGAGAUCAGCUGCAACUGAAUCUUGUAUCAUCUUUUGAAGUGCAUUCGGAUCCAAAGAAGAUGGUGUGAUCUCUGCUUUACUCACAUGAGCUUCAGACGCUGUUGACACCCAAUUUUGGCUCUCAACAUGUAACUAAAAUAUUAAUAUUAGUAAUAAUAAAAUAUAUAUGUUAUGAAAGUUUUAUAGGGAUACGAAAAGAUUUUUAUUUAUUUUUUAAUUGAUAAAUUUAUUUCAUAAACUUUAUUUCUUAUAAAAAUUAAAUAUAUUAUAAUACUACUUACUUUCUCAUUUUUAAAUAAGUGUCGUUCUUAAGAAUUGAGUCUAUUUUUUUUUGUUCAAAUAUAAUUUCUUUUGUCUCAAUAGAUAUUUUUCGUACAUUGAUUAAAUUUAGAAAACUUAAUUAAUUAAUGAGUUACUAAUUUAUAUUAAUUUAAUUUUCAGAGUGACUAAUUUUAUCAAAUAAGCUAGUUUUGCAAAAUAAUUAUUUUUAAUUUAAUAAAUUAUAGUUAGUUAAUAAAGAAGAGGUCAUAAUGAAUUUAAUUUGAACAAAACUUGGCAAUCCAAGUCCCCUUAAACCGGCCAAUCCGUGUGUGCCACGUAGGCGAGCACAUAGAUUGUGCUUCUUAACUUUUAAUCUCAACCCUCUAUUUUAAUCCAACGGCUUUAAUUAAUUCAUCUUUUUAAUAUAUAAUUAUUAUCAAAUAUAUAUAUAUUAUUAAUCUUUUUUAACCCUUGAUUUUUUUUAACCGUCCGAUCACGAUUGAGAUCAAACCAAUGACUUUUAGACCUCUACACCGCCCUACUAUUCCCAGAAAUCACGUUCUUCUUCCAGAACGUCUUAUCCAUCACGUUCACCCUCCCACACCUCUUUCUCUUCCCCAAAAACCAACACCCCAAGCUCCUCUCCCAUGGUCCCAUCACCGCCCCACGUGAUCCCCCACCCCCUUCGUCAGAAACGGCUCUGGGCUGCCGGGAAAUUGUCAAUUCCGGCAAUUACUUGCCUCAUCUGACACUCGCCAUUUUCAAUCAAUCCGUAAAAGUAAGAUUUUGCAAGAUUUUUCUUCUCAUUCAAAAUUUCUUUACUGUAUCCUCUAAGAUUGAUGUUGAAUUCUUGGAGCCCAAAUCGACUAUAAAAGGAGGACUUCCAUCCUCAUUCAGAAAUCAUCCAUCAACGAGCAAGAAAAUCAAGCAACAAUCGAGAAACAUCCAGAAAAUCAGAGAGUUUUAGCAAUAAACAAAAGGGUAACACAAAGCUUUAGAGUUCGAAAGUUCCUUGCUCUUUUUGUACUUCUGUUUUCUGUUUUGAAUUCAAGUUUCGAGGAAGUUCAAAGUCGAAAUCUCUUGACGUUGAGGCUCUAGUUUGCUGCUCCAUACAAAGUGAGUGUCUUGUUCAGCCAGUCCUUUUUUUUAUGUAUAUAUCAUUUGUUUUAUGUGACUACUGGUAUGUUCUUUAGUUUGAUAAAUACUAAUGCAAUCGCUUAUAUAUCCUUGUCACUCAUGUGGUUAUAUCGAAUAGGUCGCCCUAUUUUCUAGACCAUGUACGACUCCCUCUCCCCUGUUUCAUUUCUACUCUCAUGAUUAAACAAUAUUAAGCAUGGAAUGUGUGCAUAUAUUGAGACGUUGAUAAUCGUUUUAUUAUAGUGAAUGAUUGAAUACAAAAAAUGUAAGAAGUUAUACCCCUUAUUGCUUGUCUGUUGAAAAAUGAAGAGUUUGCUUUUUAAGGGAGCAUUUAGUUUGCAUCUUUUAUCUUCCGAUUCUGUUAUUAGUUGUGUUCUCGAUCUUCAGAAACUAUGUGUUAUGUUGUUUGCUUCCAUUGUUAGACUCAGAAAAAAAAACAUAUGUAUUCCUAUGCUCCAACAGGCAAUUGCAGACAUACUUAAAGAUCACUUCAUGGUGUAGAAAAUGCAUUUAACAAUUACGUAAUCCAAAUCUAACUUACGAAAAGAGGCUGAUCUGUAAAAAUGUCAUGUCUAUUAGAAUGUGAUUGGUGGUACAAGUUAACUCAAAUCUGGGUUAACAGAUGACUAUAUGUGAAAUUCAUUUUUGAUUUGCUUCUCAUAAGUUUGAAGCUCAUUUGCUAGCUUUUCUUUUUUCUUAUUUUUUGUACAUGUACACUUGGGAGCGCAUUUGGAGCUGUGAUACGACUCCAUUCUUCUGUCCAAAUCAGAUUUGUGCUUGCCUACAUUAUCGCUUGUAUCUAGCAGCCCCAUCGCAUCGAUAGUGUCUAGUGCCUCUUCUUCUCUUUAAGAAUUUAUGUCCUCAAAAUAUACAUAAUUUUUGCUUCUAAUUAACUUUACAGAAUUGCAGCUUUAUGUUUGAUAUUUGCUCUUGUUUACCGUGUUUUGUAGAGGACAUUAUGCUAUAUUGGUGAGCUUAUGUCAUUUCCUCAAUUAAUGUCGCACUUGUGGUGAUGCCACACAUAGGAUUUUACGACUAUUAUUUGUUUUCAACCAUCCAUUACUAACAACAUUUGUAGCUAUCUUUUACUCAGAAUAAGAGUCCAGAAUGUAGAUUCUAAAGGUUUAAAAGUGCAGAUUUUUUUUUAGCUUAAAAAUGGGGCAGAUUUUGAAAGCCUUGAGGGGUAACAAUUUGAACAUUAAAAUGCACAUUUUGAGUGCAAUAAAACACAUCUUUCUUAAAACUUUGUAAGUGUUGGAAUUUAGUACGUAGAAGUGUUUAUGUUUUAGAGUAAUAAUACAACUUUUUUGAGAACUUUAAAACGGGUAGAUUAGUUGAUAGAACACAACUUUCAAAUGGAAUACAAUUAUUAUUUUCUUUAAAAAAACAAAAUAGCCUAAAAUUUGGUCCCCAUCCUUUAAGUUAGUUUAUUUUUUUUAUUUUUUUUGAAAAAUCUUUUACCCAAUAAAUUAUAUCCAUUUUUUAAGCCUCUGGCUCGUUAAAAAAUAAUAAUUAAAUCUUAACUAAUUUUCUCUAAGAUUAUAGUAGACAUUGUUUCAUUCUCGAGAUUGUUUAUAGUUAUCAUUUUAUAAAAUCUUAUACAUUAACGCUUUCUUUUAAAGCUAGUUUACAUUAUGUUAAUACUUUCUCUUAAACUCCUUUUUAUAAGUUCUCUUUUAAUUAAUCUAAUUUUGGUCGGUUAACGAUAUUUAAACAAACUCUUUUUAAAAUAAAAAAGCUUUUGAUCUCUCUCCCUUGGGAUAAUUAGGAUCUCUUACCUAGAAUUAUAUAAGUUUUAGUAGACCCUUAAUAGGAAUUAACCUUAACAUUAUUUAGUCCAAUAUUUAGAUGCCCUAAUUCUUCAUCUUUGAAAUAAUUAGGCGAUUUGUAGACCCUUCAAGACUAAAGGUGGAGGAGUGAUGAGUUGGGGUGGGUAACCAAUAGUUAGUCCCAUUUUAUUUUUUUACAUCAACCCUUUUCGAAAAAAUAUAUAUAUUUACCAUUAUCACUUUUUAAAUCGAAUAUUACUAAAACAUUUUAAUUUCUUAACAUGUUAUUCAAGAUUUUAGAUAUGCCAACAGUUUCAAAAUACUAGGUACAUACAUAUUAUAUGUCAUACGCAAAAGGGUACAAAUCCGAUAUUUUUUUAGUUUUUUUUUUCUCUAUACGUAACUUAUUAUUUUGUUACACUUUAUGUUAUUUUUCUCAUAUCUAUUAUCUCUUUUACAAAAUUACUUAUUUAUUUUUUAUAAUUUAUAAAUUCCUACACUUUCAUAUACAUAUUAUUUUACUACAUAUAAUCUAUUGUCAAUUUUUCCCAACGUGUAAAUAAAUAAUAAGUGUUCUUAUGUUUUAAACAACUUACAUGUAUAUACUACACUUUAUAAUAACCAUACUUAAGAUUAGGGGUGUUCACGGGUUGGUUUGGGUCGGUUAUUGGUCAAAAUCAAAACCAUACCAACUUAAUCGGUUUUAAAAUUAUCAAAACAAAACCAAACCUAAUAUAAUAUACAUUUAUCGGUUUGGUUGUUAUCGGUUUUGGUUCGGUUUGGUUCGAUUAUUCGGUUAUUAACUAUAUACAUAAAAUUAAAAGAAAUAAUUUAUUCAAAACGUGAAAAAAGUGACAAUAAUCUAUUCAAAAAUGAAAAAUAGUUAGAAUGACUGACAUUAUGAAACUUUCGAUCAUUGAAUUUACUAUGAAUAAAGCUUCAAAGUUCACUACUUUUGUCCUAGAAGGAAGAGACAUUGACAUUUUCAGUACCACAAAGAAUUAUCAUAGACACUCAUAUACAUGAAACCAAUAAGAUAAAUGUUCUUACCUUGGGCAUUUUUACUUUCAUAAGUAAAUUAUAAAUAAAUUUUUAUGAAUACAUAUAUAAGAUUUUUAAAAUUGUUUAUAAAAUAGUAUAUUAUGUAUGUAUAAUAAUAAAAUUUAUGUAUAUUAUUUAUCGGUUUGGUUCGGUUAUUUCUUCGAUUUUUUUUUCGAACAAAAUCAUAACCAAACCAAAUACUAUUGGUUUUUUUAAAAUACUAAAACCAAACCAAAUCAAACCCUAAAUAAAAUCGGUUCAUUUAAUCGGUUUGGUUUGAUUUUUCGGUUUAGAUCGGUUUUUAUCCAAACCGUGAACACCCCUGCUUAAGAUCACAAACUUUUUAUAAUAUUUUAACAUCUAGUAUCAUUAUUAUUUAUUGUAUUCGUUUAUUUUUAGAAAACUCCAUUUUAUGUAUUUUCAUUCAAAAACAUAUUUUACACCUACUACUACAUAUUUAUACUCGUUUAUUAUCUCAUUUUUUAUUUUUCUUUACGUCUUAAUUUUAUAUACAAAUAAAACGACAAAUUUUCAUAUCAUUUAUACAAGUUUUAUGUAAGAUACAUGUACAUUUUUCCAACAUAUAAAUUUAUCAUACAUUUAAGCAUACUUAUUUAUUUUACUAUAUGAUAAACAUACUACUAUUAAAAUUAUUUUAGAGACGUAUAUAUGUCGUACUUUGUAUUUUACUCUUUUUCUUAAACUAACAAAAUUUACUUAUCAUUGAUUUUAAAGCAAACAAAUGAACAAAUUUUCCUAAUUAUUUUUCCUAAAUUGAGCUUAAUACCUUCGGAUAUGCUCUGAGGGAUGCUUAAUACCUUCCACUCGAGUAAUCAAAACCCUUACUCAGAAUCUCACUGGUUUCGCGGGUUAAAACAGAGUUUACAUUUACAUAUUUAAAAAAUGGUUUUCCUAAUAUUUCCUAAAUUAGGUGGCGACUCUAAACAAAAAACUUUUUUUCCAAAAUCAGAGUGUCAGCCAUAUUAUGUUGUGAACUGUUUCGGCUGGUUCGAAACAGGGGUGCGACAGACGCUUGCUAAGCUUUGUGCUUGGUUUGAUGUGUGUUUGGGCGUCGAUUGCACUCCAGAAUUAUUUGGCCAGGCAUCUUACAAUAAUUGCAUAUGUUUCUUUUCUUGUAAUGUGACACAAUAUGGCCGAACUCUUUGCACUCAAAGCAUUGUGGUCCAGACUUUCGAAUUGAGCUCUAAGUAUAUGAUUUAUGGGUACCUUUGUAUACAUAGUUGCGUCAAUUGUGUAGGACGAAUCCAUGGAUGCUAGAGUAUCGAUGCGUGUUUCCUCACGAAUGAGUUCUCCAAAAACUACAUCGAUGUUUGGAAGAGUUUCUCUGUUAAGAAUGUUUGCUCUAAUAGGUUCAAAUUCAGGUCUCAAUUUCAUGAGAAAUUGGACAACUCGAGUCUUCUUCCUCUCCAACAUAACUUCCUUGAAGCCUGUGGAAAAAAGGUUUCCUCCAAAGCUUUGGUCCUGUUCUGACCAGAUUGCCAUAAGUCCCGAAUAAUAACUUUAAAUGUCUUUAUCUCCUUGUUUGUAUUCCGAAAGAGUAUGUUCCAACUCAAAAUCCCGAGCAUGAUUGCAAUGAGAAUAUACCUUUUGGAGAUGCUUCCACAUCUCUGCUGCCAAUUUAAACGGACGCAGACUAAGUGCAACAUCUGCAUGUACAAAAUUGAGGAUCCGCGAAAUUACACGAGCAUUGUUAGCAUGCCAAACUUGUUUUUCCUUGUCUUCAUUUGGCUCAGUUGUUGAUCCAUCCAAGAUUCCAAACAAGCUUUUCCCUUAAACAAGGUUUUGAAAAUGAAAUUCCCACAUCGGAUAAUUUUUCCAUCAAAUUUGGUAGACAAAAUGUCGUGAGAAUGUGACUCCAUUAGAAAGACAAAAGAUAUUCGGUGAUAGAAAGACAAAAGAAUCUCGUGGAUGCUCAAUUGUUAUCAUGGUAUCACGAGGGGAAGGAGUUCAUAUAGUUUUAAAAUCUUGUAACCGUAAGUAAAUCCAUUCAUAACGAGCCAUUGGCAAUACCGUUGCCUUAAUGUGGUCAUACAUUUCCUUCAAACCAGUCCACAAUUCAAGUGGAUCUUUCACCGUAAGGUAUUCAACCUUCAAUCCUUCAUCCAGAUGAUGACGAAGGAAAAUCAUUGCCUUUGCUUUGUCCUGACUCGACGUCAUAUUACCAUUGGUAAUAGUGGCACGAAGACCUUUAAGGUCAAGGUGAAUUUCAGCGUCGAGUACCCAUGAUAAGUAAUUAUUUCCAGAAAUGUCAAGUGUCACGAACUCAAGCUUUGAUAAAUUCGAUAUGAUCAAACUAUCAUAAAAAAUAAUUAAAUUAUACUAAAAUAAAUAGUGAGUACAUAAGUAAUUAACAAAACUUUUUUUUAUCAAUGAUAAUAACGUGACACAUGUUAUUGGGCAAAGUAACAUCAAUUAGUAAAUUAAUGUGUUAGUACAAACUUCUGAUCAAUUUAAAUGAACAUUCUGCCUAACAUAUAACUUAAAUAAUUUCUAGCAAAAUUGCUAGACAAAAUUAAAAUUUAACUAAUAAAAAAUAGCAUAAUUCACUUGAUGAUUAGGCGAAAACAUAAACUUUUUGGACUUAUAUAUAUUUCAUUGCUUAACUACCAAAAAUAUACACACACUGUUUAACACCUAAACAUUUUAUAAUAUGUAGUAUAUUAUAUUAGAGUGAUUAAUAAUGAGAAUUAAGUAUAUGAAUACAUAUCAGAAGCUUUACUUGGAAAAAUCGAAAAGAUAUUAGAGUUUCGUGCUGAUAAUGUGUUCUAAAACUUAAGAACAAAAUAACAGUAUAAAGAGGAAGAAGAAGAAGAAAAUUAGGCUCUGAUACCAUGAUAACAAUUGAGAAAUCAGAGACCAAAAAGACUUGAAAACUAUUCUGUAUUUCUUAUCUUUACAAUUGAUAAACUAUCCACUAUUUAUAUACAAAGGUACAAGCAUGAUUCUAGCACAAUAUCAUAUCAUAUCUUGCACAAUAUCAAUGGUGUGAUUGUGCUUAGUUAAAUUAGAAUAUUUUUCCGGAUAUUUUAGAAUCAUAUCAAAUCAUAUCUGAUAUGGUCAAUAGACCUUACCCCUAACUUUGUAAGCAACAAAGGCUAUUUCUAUAUUUAUUUCUAUUUCCAAUAAACAUUCAACUCAAAAGAAAUAUAAUCGUGGUACGAUUACAACAAAACCCAAAUCGAACUUUUUUGGUGGUAUUUAAGAUUAAUGAACCAACCAUUUCGUGAACUUGGGUCCAUCACCUUCACCGUAAGAUUACCAGAUUCCGACGCCGACGGCAAUGUGUUUUCUGGUAGAAAACCUUUGUGAAAAAACUCAAGAGGAGAAAAUUGUAGAGAAGUGGAGGAGAAGAUACGAUAAGCAAGAUCCAUCAACAGAAAACAUACAUAAAAUUUUACAAAAAUCACUGAAAAUUGCUUCUUAUUAACAACGUGAUAGCUAACCAUGAUUUUAGUUCUCUUUAAAAGUAUCUCUAAGAUUUGAAAAACAAAAAUAUUAACGUAAAAAUAGGGGGGGAAAUGAGAAUUGAGUGUUCAUCCUCCCAAAUCCCCAACUAACGUAAACAAAAAAAGAGGGUAAAAUAAGGGGGGUUUAUGAAUGAAGAGAGAUUUAGCAAGAAAAGGACGAGGAGACAUAAGCAAAGAGAUGAUAAUAAAAUGGGGACUUCACCUUAAGUCUUACGUAAUGUUUCAUAAUGUAUCAUAUUAUAUUGUAAUAAAUAUAAUAUUCGAAUAUAUUAUAGAUUAUAUUGUUCUUUGUCACUAUAUAAUGUUACAUAUUUGUAAUUUGAAUGAUAAAUUUAUAAGAUAAAACAGAUUAUACGGAUAAAACUACUAUGAAAAGAUAAACUAAAUGAUAAAUAAAAUUAUUAAAUAAUAAGUAAAGAUAAAAUGAGAAGAAAAUAUAAAGGUAAUGUGAUCACACCAGACCGAUUGUUAAAUAAAAUAGGUAUUUUCGUUGUCAUCUAACGAUGAAUUUAAAUAUACAAUACAAUAAAAUUUAAAAUAAUAAUCAAAAUAAAUAUUGUAUUUAAACUUACAAUACAAUACAACGGACAACAACCAUCCAAACGAGGUGUAAAGCGACGUGGUGGACUAGUGUAUAUUCUCAUGUUGCACCUCCUCAUGGUUUUGCUAUUUUUUUAUUUUAUUUUUUAUUUAGAUCGUCUACAGUGGGAUAAAGAUAAUAAUUUUAGAAUAGAAUUUACAAUUCAAUUUAUUUUAUAUUUAAUUUGAGGUAUUAGCUAAUUUUAAAUUUUUUUAACAUAUAUUUAUACAAAAAAAAUAAUGAAUUAUUAUCUCAUAUAAAAUGUGAAAUAAAAUAAUCUCAUGAAAUAGUUUUAAAUAUCUCAUUUCGCAUUCCAACCAUCCCUUAAGAUGUGUUUCGUACAAAGAAACACAUUUUUUACAUAAUAAAUUUACUUUUUUACUUUUUUUUCUGGUGUUUGGUAGUAAUAAACAGAACAUGUAAAACAUAUUAAUAGUGACAAAAUCGACAAAAACAUACCCAAUAUAAUCUCUUAGGUAAGAUCUCGAGAAAAUAGAGUAUAACAAAUCUUACCCUUACUUUAUAGAGAUAGAAAUACUAUUUUCAAAAAUAGUAACAAAUUCAUAUGUUUUAAAUUUCCGUCAUCGAAAAUUACAUGUAUGAAUAAAGGCGAAGCCAGGAAUAUGAUGAAAUAUGUGUAAAUUUUCUUUUUUGAUUAUGUUAAGGACAUGCAAAACUACACAUACAUUUAUAUUAGCUAGUACUAUUUAAGUAGUUAACAUCUAUACGCCAUAUAAUUCUCCGAUAUAAAAUGUACACUGAAUCACCCUCCACCUAAAAUUGUGAUGAAGUUUGAGGUACACAACAAGAGAACAACUUGACCUACUAACUGCAUUAGACAUCACUUUUUCGGAAAUAAUGGUGGAAACCUAUUGUCCAUUUCCUUGGGCCUUCAAAAGGAAGUAGGAAACAAAUGGUGAAGUCAUAAACAACAACUACCUUGUUUUGCAUUUAUUGUCCUUCCCUUCUAUGAAGGGGUGUUAAUACAUAUGCAAGUUUAGUGACGUAUCAUAUGAGGCGAAUGUGAAAGUCAAGAUUAAUUCACACGUUAUACUUAUGAAAGGAAAUUUUAAGUAUUUUUGGUAAAUAAUUAAAAGGAAUGGGAAGAUUGAUAAGGAUUUUAAAUUUGGUGAAUAAACGGAGGUUUGUAUCAGGUGUAUUAUAUGUUAAGAGGGUGUUAUCGAGGUUUAAAGGUAAAUUUUAUAGAGUAGUUAUUCGAUCGAUUAUAUUGUAUAGGACAUAGUAUUGAUCAGUUAAGAAUUCACACAUUCAAAAGAUGAGUAUUAUAGGGGAGAUGAAGAUGCUUAGAUCGAUGGAUAUGUUGAAAUAUUAUGAGAUAAAAGAUGGAGUCCUGGAGAAAGAAGAUAUAAGGGGGGUAAGGUGAGAGUAACCUCAAUGGUUAAAAGAUGCAGGAAAUGAGAUUGAGAUGAUUCAAACUUCUAAAGAGGGGAGACAUAUACACUAAUGAAUAGGUUCGAGAGGUUGACAAUGAUAGGUUUAAAGAGAGAUAGAUGUAGACUGACAAAGGUGAUUGCACAUGACUAAUCUCAAGCUCACCAAAGACAUGAUCCUAGAUAUAAAAGUAUGAAAGACAAGAAUUAGAAUUGUAACGACCCGAACCGUCGUUAAUUAGGAAAGACAAAAAUCCGUGAAAAAUCUGGGCCACUAUUCUGCCAGAGCGGGCUAGAUGCCGCUGGGGCGGUGACGCUACAGCGGGAUAAGUUGCCGCCAGAGCGGGAUAGGCGAGACAAAAUGUAAAUUACGAGAUAUUCUAUUUUCUCCAUCUUCCUAAAAUACCUAGAUAAGUCGUAAAUUACCCUAGAAACCUCAAAAAAGUUGUUCUAAGCUUGGGAAGGAAGGAGAAUGAGAUUUCUAGCGUGGGGAUGGUGGAAUCUUACUAAUUCUUGGCCAAACUCACCAUCUUGAAUCCGAAAAAGCUAGAAACGAAGUCAAAAACCCCGUACAACUGCUUGGCGCUCAGGUAGGCUAAGGUUUAUGCAUUGAGUAGUUGUAAAUCUGUGCUUACCAUGUAAUGUAUGUAAAUCAAUAGUAUGGUUUAUGUGUAGACCUUUGUGCACCGAGUGAAUUCCUUGGAUAAUUUUUAUAAUUCAACAUAAUUGGGUUUAUGCUGUAAGGAGAGAAUUUGAUGAUUUGUUAGGGUUUUCAAAAUUGCUAUCUUGAAUAGAAAUAUUCCAAAGAGCGAGGAUAUCCGAUUAAAGUGGAACUAGAUUCAUGAAUGUAUGCUACAUUCGAUAAGUUGACGUGAUGAACUUGAGAAAUUAUGAUGAAUUGUGAUUAAACCCUAAUAAGAAACCCUAAUGAUGAACUAGGGCUGAGCUUGGUCUAUAUUUGUAUACAUAUAUGUUGUGAAUCGAUGAGUAAAUUUUUAGGUGAUGGUUGUGAUUCUAUGAUUGUGUGAUGUUUGUUUGUUCUUGCUUUAUUAUGAUGGUUGUGAUUCUAUGAUUGUAUGAUGUUUGUUUGUUCUUGCUUCAUUACGAUACUUGUAUAUGUAUGAAUGUUGCAAUGUUGAUCACACUUGAUGUAAAUGAGAUAGAUGAAUGUUGUUUGCCAUGAAAUCAUGAUGUAAAUGUAUGAUCUUGACGAUGUACUUGUGAUUGUGAUUGUGGUGUGUGAUUGGGAUCGGUUGCCACGUUCCCGCAUAAAUAUGGUAUCGGUUGCCAAGUUCUGGCAGAAACAUGGGAUCAGCUGCCACAUUCUGGCACACUAAUUUGGGAUCGGUUGCCACGUUCCGGCAUAAAUAUGGUAUCGGUUGCCAAGUUCUGGCAGAAACAUGGGAUCGACUGCCACAUUCUGGCACACUAACUUGGGAUCGGUUGCCACGUUCCGGCAUGCUAACUGGUUGAGUAUGGGUUCCGUGAGAAGGCCAAUGAUGUGCUAUUAAAUGUGAGUGGUUCGGUGUUUGUGUGUUUGUUGAUAAUAUGGUAUAUGCUUGAUAUACGUUGUGAGUAUAGUGUGGUAUUGGUUGUACUUAGUGGGCUCGUGUUAUGAUGGUUCCUAGUUGGUGGUUCGUGGGAUGUAAUGGCGAGAAUAGAGAUAGUAAAUGCGAUGGGAUAUGUUAGGUGGAAUUCACCUCGGGGGAAGAAGAUUGGGUUAGUGUGAAGAAAGUUGAGUUAAUAAUUUACGUGACUAUGGUGGGGUAAUGUGACGAGGAAGCAAGGGUAUGACGUGAGUGGUUAGUUGAAUUGGCGGUGGUGGUACUUGGGAUUUAACUAGGUGUUUAGAAUGGUUAAGCCAUGAUCAAGAAUCCGGUAAGUGGGUUGAUUAAAAAGGGUUAGUAGUUAGAAUGCUAGUGUGAUUGGAGGUAUCUCAAUUAAAGGGUGAAGGUGGAGAAGCGAGUGUUUAUUUCAUGAUCUUACUAGUUAGUUUUCUAAUGUUAUGUGGUGGGCGUCGGGUUGACUGAUGAUGACUGCCAGUACAUGUGUUUUGUACUGAUACUACUCUUUUUACGUCUUUUUGACAUAGUCUGGUUGCAGGAUCGAUGAUGUUUCCUUAGGUGAAGACGAAGAAUCUCAAGCAGCUUCUACUUUUCCAACCGCAUGGUGGAAGCUGUGUCAUUAAUUUAUUGUCCAUUGUACUCUUAGUAGCUCUUGUGCCUGUUUAAACUAGAUCCUUAGGGUUGUUAAAUUACUUUACAAGUCUUAACUACUUAUUGGAAAAGAUCUCUAUUUAUAAAUAUUCUAUUCUUUAUUUAUAUUCGUUUUUCGUUAAUUUUCCGCACAUUUUAAACUUUGGGUAUAAGGGUUCUCCUACUUAGUUGUUAGAAUGGGUUUCUGCACGGCCCGGUGGGUUGGGUCGUGACAAAUUAGUAUCAGAGCCUAGGUUACCGGUCUUCCCGUACAAAAGCAAAAUGCAAACUAGACUCCUGCGGAUUGGUGUGUUGACGUCAACAUCUAAUCUUCAGGAAGCUACGAAGCAUUUUAGGAACUCGUUCCACUCAUUCUCUCCUUUCGUGCGAAGUGUCGCUUGUAGUAUGAGUUGAAUCCAAUUGGUAUCUCCCGAUUCCAAUUGGUAUCUCAGCGAAGUAGAUUAGACGUCGUGAUUACGACCGAAGGGAUACAAGCAAAGUUAAUUGGACCUGAGAAGGUUUCAAUUGGUAUCUAAUCAUUAAGGGUUGUACAAGGCAUAGAUGACCAGUAAUGGUCAUCUAUGGGACGAACUAACCAACAAAGUGAAAUUGUUGUGAUGUGUGAUUUUGACUGUAAAUGUGUGACUUUGUUGUUGAAUUAACCGUGAAAUUGAACUUCUUGUUGUCUGAAUUAACUGUGAAUGUGUACUUUUUGUUGUUUGAAUUAAAUGUGAAUGUGUGCUCCUUGUUGUGUGAAAUGACUGAGUAUGUGGAGGUAUUAUGGUGGCUGCGUGUGACAUGAUUAAGGACACAGUGUUGCGUGUCUGGACUUGAGAUGUGUAAAUUGCUGAGUGAAUUGUUAAAAUUAUGCAAGUGUAAUUCCCUGAAUAUCGUGAAAUCUAUUUAGAUAAAUUGUUUCUAUUAAUCGUAAGAUGUCUGGGUGUAUCCUAGGGUGGUGUGUGCUGUGAUGCAGAGUUGUUUACAACAUUUGAACUGUGUAUCGUAUACCCUAGCUUGGAAAAUUUAGAAAUUCAAUUGAAUGGUAAAAAUAGGGACCCUGGAAAGCCAUACAAGGGUGAAAAAGAACCCAGAAUUUCUGGCAUGGAUACUAGUCCCGUUGGAGCCGCUGGGGCGGGAUUAUUCCCGCCAGAGCGGGACAGGGCGAGGCAGAACCUCACCCAGUCUCCCCUGUUUUCCUUAUCUUGUGUCAACUCAAAUGGGAUUCGAACAAAUCCCUGCAACUCCAAAUAGUGUUCAACAACAGGAAUAGAGAGAUUAGAAAAAUUAAGAUUAAUAUGGGGCUGCAUCAGACAGCCAAAAACGAGUAUCCAUGUGCUACAAAAACUUAGAAAUGUCGAAAGGUAAAACCUAGUUGUCUUAAAUUUACAAGCCCAAGAGGGGCAAAAGGAAAGCAAAUCAGGGACUCUCGGACUGGGUGGUGUCAAUGUCUGAAUUGAGGUUCUCCGGGGGCAUCACACCAUUCCAAGCCUCAUUCAGCAUAGAGAAAUCCUUGAGGUCCGGUGGCUCGAGUCAGGGAAGUUCCUUGCCGAGGGCCACACAAGUGAAUAUGGCCUUAACCGUCUUCCACAUCCUCAGCAUCAGAUGAUCCCUGACUGGACCUUUCCUCCUCUCCUUGCGCAGCUGACGACGGAGCAUUUCGACCUCCAGGGCAAUGCUGGGUAGAACCAGAGAGAAAUCAAUGUAGGCACUCCCCAUCCUAUCCCGGACAGCUGCUAAGUCCUCCUCAACCCGUGCACCUGAGAGUGGGUCAUCGUCGUCCGAAUCCACAGUCGUCUUACUGCUGCUAGCCCUACCGGUCCUUCUCAUCUUGCUCCUAGAAGUAAAACUUGCCCGAAUAAAAAAAGGGUGAAAAGGGGAUCCAUAAAAAGUACCUCGUCAUCAUCAAAUAAGGGAACUCCCGCCCGCUUGCAUAGGGCAAUGAUGAGUCCUGGAAGGAAGAAGGCUUUUUUGUUGCCUCGAUAGAACAUCUUCUAGUCAGAGAUAAUAUGUGCUCCCACGUUCAGUUGGAUACCCCAUUUUUUAUAACGUUCAAAUAUAUCUCUUGAAAAGAAAUAUAAACGAUCGUAUGCAAUAUAUUUACCCAACUAUAAGUCGGGGUCGAUCCCACAGAGAAUAUGGAAGAAUAUUGUCAAUAGCAAAUAUUUAACUCGAUAGUCGUUAUAUAAAAAAUGGGGUAUUUAAAUUGAAAUAAAAACAAUAAAAAGAUAGCUUUGAACUAAGUAUUUAUUUAUAUUCAGAUUAUUAAAAGUAACUAGGAAUGUGUUCCCCAUAAGCUCAUAACGCAGUAAUCCUAAUAAUAGUAAUCCUUUUCUAGUGUAUUACAUGCAAAGUGAUAAGUUAGGUAUCUCUAAAUCCUUGGUCCGGCAUCUAGAGAAUUUCACCCCGCACCUUGGUCCGGCUACGUGUGUAUAAUUUACUAACCCUUACCUUUACCUCAUAUUAGACAUCACAUCAAUGUUUGACUUAGUUAUUAGUUCGCACCAAUCGACACUAAACUAUUAGAUAGUAUCACACUAAAUCUAUGUUGAUAAUUCUUUUCCUGUUAAUUACCUCCUUGGUCCGGCAAGUAGUAACAAGGCGAGUUCUAACGUUGGCCACCGUUAAAAAGACUUCUAAACGAAAGAAUUAUCAAUGCAUGCAAAAUACUAGUCAAGAAUUGCUUAUUUACUAUUCAUACUUUGUUAAUCGAUCAUGCUUCCCACAACCCUAGUUGUGAAUUUAGUUACUCAUAUUGGCAAGAACACAAUUCAUAAUUGUAGAGGGAGAAAUCAUGAACUUACGUAAAGAUAAUAAUAAACCCAGAAAAUUAACUUGAAUUGCAAAGCCAAAAUCUUCAAAACAGACUUGGGAAAUCACCUCCCUCUUAAGAAUAAUUUUUCAUCCCCUAUUUAUAGAUAGAGAAACCCUAAAUAAAAUAAUUUAGUUCAAGACAAAUUAGGAAAAUAAAACCCAAUUAAAUUGGGUUUUCCACUGUACGCGUAUUUCUGGAAUUUCAUGUUGCUCACUGCCUUUCAUUCUAAUAUGAGCCAUCCAGCUGCUGACACGUGGCAGAAGUAGUACCCACUUUCAAUUUGCAAAUUUUUCGCGGCCUUUUUCCUCAUAUAUACAAAAAUAUUAUUUUAUUAAAUUUAAUCCAUUAAGUUGCCUGCUUGAUUUCCUUCUUGAACCUUCCAUCUUUAAUUCGUUUUAGCUUCAAACUUCUCCAAUUUUCCACCAAUUUAAUCCUACAAAUAAAAUACCCAAUUUAGCAUAAUUCAUCAAAUUAAUGCUCAAAAAGGACAAAUAUAAAUAAUAAAUGUGAGGAAAUAAUGAUUAAAAAUAUUUAUUUUUAGCCUCACAUCAAUACCCCGUAUAGCGCACGCCACUACCAAAGCCCUGGGAAAGGUCACGCCUGUGCGAUUGCCCGAUGGGCAGAUCCUUCUAGACACCAAGUGUAGCCACCUCUUAGCAUCCGGUGACCAUUCAGCACUAGUAAUGCCCUCUGAAGUAUCCCAGUAAACCUUAUCCCGACGCGUAGGCUCCAUUAGAGUGUCCCUCAGCCACUCCAGAUCCAUCUCACUAAGCUUGGCCUCGUACUCAAGGUUCGGGACCUCUAGUACCUCAUUGAUAGCAGUGGCAUUCAAGGGGAUGUCGACUCCCCGAAUGCGGAUGACUGGAUAAGGGUCCAUCCAACAGACGGUAGAGAGGAUGGCAUAGAACUUCAUCACCCAGGUAGAGCGCGCAUCUGGGGGAGCCUCAGUCAGUGGAAUCCACCCAAACUCUACCAAACGAGCAUAAAAGGCAUGAGCCUUGUCUUCCACCUUAUGCAACACGAACCCACUUUUGUAAUAAAAUCCUGUGUUGCGGUAGUUGUGGUGUCUCUCCUGACUAGAGGCAUCGAGGAAUUGGAUGAAAGGUAGGUGCUCAUCGUUUUGUCCCGCCAUUAAGGGAGCCUGCAAUGAGUUUAAGAUAAGUCAAAACAAUGUAGACUAGUUAGGUGGGCUAAACAAAAAGAAAGAAGUUCCAUGAUGAUGUAGGCCUCUACAACAGGAUGAUGUAGGCCUCUACAACAGGAUGCAGGCCGCCAGAGCUGCGUUCAUCUAGGACGAACACCAGACGCAAAAAUAGAGUCCCUGCGUCCCAAAAUGCCCAAUUUUUUUUGAUAGAAUUUCAGCAGAUCAGAGUAUAUCAACUAUCCUAGAACAUGAAUUAGCAUUUAUUUCAACAAAAUAACCCCUAAGUAGUGCCCAAUUUCGAGUUUAUGUCAAGAUAACCUUUCAACUUCCCUUACCCAUUUUUGUAUUGAUUUACCCAUGUUUUUACGGAAUCCUUACGCCUAGGACGUUGUGUAAACGUUGGGGACGUAAGGGAAAUAACCAUGCUACGCUUUUCUAACACAUUUAGAAACCUAGUUCAAAUUUCAAAAUAACUACCCGAAAAACCAUCUAUUUUGGAUCAAAUAGUAGCAUUCAAUCGUUGUUAAUCGAGUAAUGAAGUAAGGAGUGAGAUAUGAGAUUUUUACCUUGAUUUGACGAUUCCGAGUGAUUGAGUCGAGAGGGUUUAGGAGAGUUUUAUAAGAAGUAAAUGGGAGAAAUGAGGGAACCAUUCCUCAUUUCCCCCUAUAAUAUUCCCCGAUCUCUCGCUACAGCGGCCCCGCUACAGCGGGAGGGCUGCCGCCCUGGCGGGCCAGGCUGUGUAGUUUAAAAUUUGUUCGAUCUUCGUGUGUUGCAUUUGAAUCUCUCCUAGCUUGGGAGUAUAACAUCGUUUUAUGUGUUCAAGCUAACUGAGAGGUCGCAUUUUUUCGUAGUUCCAUGAUGGAUCGUUUCGGUAGUUGGGAGUGUUGUGAAAUUAGAAUGGGUGAUGACCUUGUACUAGUCGUUCGGGGACGAACGAGGGGUAAAUUGUUAUCUAUUGUAACUACCUAAAUCGUCGUUAAUUAGGAAAGACAAAAAUCCAUGAAAAGUCUGGGUCACUGUCCCACCAAAGCGGGCUAGAUGCCGUUGGGGUGGCGGCGCUACAUCGGGAUAAGUUGCCGCCAUAGUGGGAUAGGCAAGACAGAAUGUAAAUUACGAUAAAUCCUAUUCUCUCCAUCUUCCUAAAAUACCUAGAUAAGUCGUAAAUUACCCUAGAAACCUUAGAAAAGCUACUCUAAGCAUGAGAAGGAAGGGGAAGGAGAUUUCUAGCGUGGGGAUGGUGGAAUCUUGCGAAUUCUUGGCCAAAUUCACCGUCUCAAAUCCGGAAAAGCUGGAAACGAAGUCAAAAACCCCGUACAACUGCUUGGCACCCAAGUAGGGUAGGUUUUAUGCAUUGAGUAGUUGUAAAUGUGUGCUUACCAUGUAAUGUAUGUAAAUCAAUAGUAUGGUUUAUGUGUAGACCUUCGUGCACUGAGUGUAUUCCAUGGGUAAUUUUUAGAAUUCAACGUAAUUGGGUUUAUGCUGUAAGAAGAGAAUUUGAUAAUUUGUUAGGGUUUCCAGAAUUGCUAUCUUGAAUAGAAUUGUUCCAAAGAACGAGGAUAUCCGAUAAAAGUGGAACUAGAAUCAUAAAUGUAUGCUACAUUCGAUAAGUUGAAGUGAUGAACUUGAGGAAUUAUGUUGAAUUGUGAUUAAACCCUAAUAAGAGACCCUAAUGAUGAACUAGGGUUGAGCUUGGUAUAUAUUUGUAUACAUAUAUGUUAGGAAUCGAGGAGUAAAUUCGUAGGUGAUAGUUGUGAUUCUAUGAUUGUGUGAUGUUUUUUGUUCUUGAUACAUUAUGAUACUUGUAUAUGUAUGAAUGUUGCAAUGUUGAUCACACUUGAUAUAAAUGAGAUAGAUGAAUGUUUUUUGCCAUGAAAUCAUGAUGUAAAUGUAUGAUCUUGACGAUGUACUUGUGAUUGUGAUUGUGGUGUGUGAUUGCCGAUUGGGAUCGGUUGCCACGUUCUGACAUAACUAACUUGGAUCGAUUGCCACAUUCCAGCAUAAAUAUGGGAUCGGUUGUCACGUUUCGGCAUAAAUAUGAUAUCGGUUGCCACGUUCUGACAUAAAUAUGGGAUCGGUUGCCACGUUUCGGCAUAAACAUGGGAUCUGCUGCCAUGUUCCGGCAUGCUAACUGGUUGAGUUUGGGUUACGUGAGAGGGCCAAUGAUGUGCUGUUAAAUGUGAGUUGUUCGGUGUUUGUGUGCUUGUUGAUAAUAUGGUAUAUUUUUUAUAUACUCUAUGAGUAUAGUGUGGUAUUGGUUGUAUAGGUUGUACUUAGUAGGCUCGUGUUAUGACGGUUCCUAGUUGGUGGUUCGUGGGACGUAAUGGCGAGAAUAGAGAUAGUAAAUGCGAUAGGAUAUGUUAGAUGGAAUUCACCUCGGGGGAAGAAGAUUAGGUUAGUGUGAAGAAAGUUGAGUUAAUAAUUUACAUGACUAUGGUGGGGUAAUGUGACGAGGAAGCAAGCGUAUGACGUGAGUGGUUAGUUGAAUUGGCGGUGGUGGUACUUGGGAUUUGACUAGGUGUUUAGAAUGGUUAAGCCAUGAUCAAGAAUCCAGUAAGUGGGUUGGUUAAAAAAGGGGUUAGUAGUUAGAAUGCUAGUGUGAUUGGAGGUAUUUCAAUGAAAGGGUGAAGGUGGAGACGCGAGUGGUUUAUUUCAUAAUCUUACUAGUUGGUUUUCUUAUGUUAUGUGGUGGGCGUCGGGUUGACCGAUGAUGCCUACCAGUACGUGUGUUUUGUACUGAUACUACUCUUGCUAUGUCUUUUUGACAUAGUCUGGUUGUAGGAUCGGUGAUGUUUCCUUAGGUGAAGACGAAGAAUCUCCAGCAGCUUAUACUUUUCCUUCCGCAUGGUCGGAGCUGUGUCAUUUACUUUAUUGUCCAUUGUACUCUUAGUAGCUCUUAUGCCUGUUUAGACUAGAUCCUUGGGGUUGUUAAAUUAAUUUACAAGUCUUGACUACUUAUUGGAAAAUAUUUUUAUUUAUAAAGAUUUUGUUCUCUAUUUAUAUUCGUUUUUCGUUAAUUUUCCGCACGUUUUAAACUUUGGGUAUGAGGAUUCUCCUACUUAGGUGUUAGAGUGGGUUCCCACACGGCCCGAUGGGUUGGGUCGUGACAAGAAUAGAGUGUUAGUCGAUAAUCGGGUGAUUUUCUCUUUCCUAUGGGAGAGCAAUUCUAGGUUAAGAACAUCCUAUAUGCUCCCUCUUGUACUUAUCAUUAUCAUUAUCAUUAUUAUUAUAGUACUAUAUUAUUCUUCAAAUUGUAUUACUACACAAUUGUUUCUUUGACUUAUUGGGCUAUCCUUUUGAUUAUUUUUGCUAAUAUUUUUCUUUCUACCAUUUUUUUUUUUAUAUAGUUUUUACUUUUGCUUUUGUCAACCCCGUUUUUUUGGAAUACUUUUUUUAGUCAAGAAUUUAUUAAAAAUUAUGUUAUUCGUCUCCACAAGUCAUAACUAUAUACUAUUAAGAAGGCUUAUUUAAGGAAAAAUAGUUCUAAUACUCAAAACACCGGGAUAGAUCAUUACAAUUUUUUACAGAAAUAUUUUCUUUGUCCCAAUUUUUUUGAAGAUGUUUGAUUGAGCAUGAAGUUCAAAAAAAAAAAACUAAAAUACAUGAUUUUUAAAAAGUCAUAAAAUAUUCCAAAGCGAUAAAUUAACUCAUUAAAAAUAAAAUAUAAAAGAACCUAUUACUAUUCUUAGAUCAAUUAAAUAGAAAGUAUCAUAAAUUUAGACACAAGUAACAUGAUUUAAUAAGUAUUGGAUGAUUCAAGGGGCAUUAUUUCACGUGAAGAAGAUAGAACCCAUAAUUGCAAUAUAUAUGAUUUUUGCUUACAAGUAUCCAAGAAGUUUGUGAUGUUAAUAUUAUCUAAUGAUAGCAUUGUUUUUGUGCUUGAAGUUUCUUUAUGUUAUUAUAGGAAGAACCCUUUUUAUUAGCCCAUAGGCCACAAUAUAAAAACCAUAUAAUAUAAUUUUCAUUUCUUUUACCUUAGAUGAAACAUCUCGCUCGCCACUUUUCUAUGUAUUUGGUAUUCCAGAUACAUGCAAAUCACACCAGAUACAUAUAAAUACAUGUAUCUAGAGUAUAUCUAGUGUGAUUCAUAUGUAUUUGAGAUACAUAGACAAAUCUCACUCGCCUCUCUCCUAUUCUUGCUCGCCUCACUCCUUAUUUCAGUGUUUCUGGUAGCAAAUAUAUAUAUAUAUAUAUAUAUAUAUAUAUAUAUAUAUAUCUAGGUGUAUCUGACUUGAAAUCUGGUACGAAAUUAUUAAUUGUUAAUACAAAAUGUAAUUAUUAUAAAUUGUAGAGAGAAUUAGUAAAUAUAAUAGAAAUGUUUAUGCAAUUCAAUAUAAUGCUAAACUAAGUACAAGCAAAUGGGCUAUCUUUACACAAUAUACACAAAAUAUAAAUGGGCUUGACUAAGUUUUCUUUGGUUGCUUGUCAUGAAGCCCAAUACUACUCCUCCCAAAGCUGGAGGGGAAAAAAAUUAUACUGUUUAUAUAUGAUUAAGAUUAUUUUUUAGAGCAACUUACAAAAAUAACUAUAUUUAUAGGGUUAUUAAAGUUCAAUAGCUAUAAGUAUGUUAUUUAUAAAAAACGACUAUAAUUUAUGUUUUUUUCUAGCUGUAUAUGUUUUUUAUUUUUCUAUUUAUACACUAAUACAGUUUUAAUUACAAUGAACUAAAUAAGAAAAUUGUAUUUAAUUGUACAAAUUCAAAUUGAUAUCUAGUAUAUCUUUGCUCUUAUCACCCUUCAGAAGCAGCCGCUCCAAAUCCUCCAUCAACAAUAAAACAAUUAAGAUGACCAAGAAGGCUGGAAUCAUUGGAAAGUAUGGUACCAAUUAUGGUGUCAAUCUGGUCUACUUAUUUCGACAUGUUUUUCAAUUUGAGUACUUUAUGACGUUCUGAACCAUCUCAAUUAGCCAUUAGUAUAAAAUUGUGUUUUUCGGACAAAAAAAAUAUUUAAAAAAAUUGAUAUCUCUAUUUAUAAAAUUUAAAGUAUUAAUAAAUCAAGGAUACAAGUAUUUAUAAAAGCUUAAUGUAUUAAUAUAUUAAACAAGAUAAAAUAUAACAAUUUAUCAUAUGAACACGACAAUUUGAAAAAUGAAUACACUGUUGUUAAACAAAAAAUGAAUACACCCAAUAUAGUAUACAUAUGAAUACAUUGUUGUUAAACAAAAGAUGGAUACAUUGAACAACUCAAAAUUUAGAAACAAGAAAAAUGAAAAAAUAAUAGAAUGUGUAGGUAGCAAAGUGUGUAAGUAUUCAGCUAUAUAAAAAGUUGAAAAUCCAACAAAUGGCAAUAUCUUUUUGGUCAAAUUUUUUCUGUAAUACUUGAGGCUUGGUGUUAACCCAUGUAUUUGUUUAUAAAAAUAUAGUAUUAAUGUAUCCAACUAUACUUGUAUUGCCUAAUCAACCUUUCAAAUUGGAUAUAUUACUUAUGUAUCCAAAUAUACUUGUAUUCACAAAUCACUAUUUCAACUUGUGUUAAUAUUACUAUACAAGUAUCUAUGUAUACAAGUAUUUUACUAUGUACAAAUUUGACAAUCACACAACUCCAAUCUGUUUUUGCUCGUGUUCUUUCUGUACUACUAUAUAUAUAGCCAUUGUAAUGUAAAAACAAAUAAUUCUUCAAUCGAAAGCCUAUAAAAAUAGAUGAAAAUAUAGAUGUAUACAAAUAUGAUUUUCAUAACAACGAAAAAAUCAAUUAAAAGAUAUUUGAUGAAUUCAAAUUACAAAAAUUGCUCUUAGAAUCAUCAAAAGGAUCUUAAAUUGGAAGUAAUUUGGGGGGGGGAGAAUACAGAAAAUUUGUGAUAUAGGAAUAUUCAUGAAAGAGAAAGUAUUAAUGAGGGUAAACAUGAGAACCAAUCACAUAAAACAUGCCUAGAGAUUAGAGCUGUCAAAAUGGGCUAGCCUAAUCCAACCCAACCCAAUCCUAACGGGCUAGAGAGUUAAAUGGGUUGGGAUGGACCGACCAUUUUAAUUAAAGGGCCUAUAAAAUAGCAGCCCAACCCAGCCCUAAGCGGGCCAUAGGUUGGGACGGGUUGGCCCUUCAAACCAAAAAAUGAACAAUAUUACUCUCUUAGAAAGAGUAUCUAAGAGUAUCGAACGUUGACGUUUAUGAACACGACAUCAAUACAUACAAAUUUUCAUUUAUGAAUCACACACUUCAGUGAAUACAUACAAAAUACAUAAUAGUCAACGUAAGAUUUAGCGGAAAAAUGUUGAUAAUUCCACCAUUCCUCCCAACAAAAAACUAGCUAGUUUAAAAGACUUGUAUUUUUUAUUUUUAAAAUAUUUAUUGAUAAAAACUUUACAAAUAAAACACUACUAAAAAAACAAAAACAAAAAAAAAAAAAUAUAUAUAUAUAUAUAUAAUAUUUUUAAAUAUUCAUAGCCCACGGGCUGGCCUCUGAGGCUUGCGGGGUGGGCCUACGAGGCUAGCAGGCCAAAUGAGGCUGGGCUAAAAAGUCUCGUUCCUAAAUGGGCCAAAAAAAUUAGGCCCAAUUCCACUUAAUUCAAGGGUUGGGUUGGACCGGCCUAGCGGGCUAAGCCCAUUUUGACAGUUCUACUAGAGAUAAUAAAUUAGGUGUGUAAUAAUAACUUACCUAUUUAAUAUUAAUAACUUUUAUGAUUAUUUGUAUAUAACUCACUUUUCUAUUUAUUGUGUAGUUAUAUCCAUAUAACAUAAAAAAAAUAAACUGUAGUUAUUUAUUUUAAAUGUAUAUUAAUGUUUGCCAUAUUUUGUAGUUUUUCCUAUUUUUUAUGUACGUAUAAGAGAUUUUGAAUUCUCUUGACUUUUCAUAUAUAUAUUUUUUAUAUUUUGAAUCCUCUUAGUGAAAAUUUUGACUUUCCUCAAUAGGGCGAAAGAAGUCAUUACAUCCUUGGAACAAUUACGGGUAUUAAUUAAUUUAUGUCUUAAGCUGCCUUUGUUUGCUGAAAAUUUCUACAUUGGUUAACCAUCUAAGACAGGAAGCGUGUUUGGUAUGUAGGAAAAUAUUUUCUGUUUUCCUAUUUUCUCAUGUUUGGUUGGGUAAAAUAUUUUUCAAAUUAAUUUAUUCUCCUCAAAUUCAAGGAAAAUAAUUUUUUUUCAAAAAGUAAGGAAAAUAUUUUUCAAAACUUUCUUCCAACUUCAAUACAAUUUUUUUGUUGAAAAAAAAUAAAUUUAAAGCUUUUUCAAAAAUAUAUUUUUCAACUUCAAUUUUUUUAUUUUUUUACCCCACCCUUACCUCGAUUCCCCCCUCCCCCAAAAAAAUAAUAAUUUAAAGUUUGUUUUUAAAAAUUAUUUCCAAUUUCAAAAUUUUAUUUUCAUCCUACCUCUCCUCUACCCUCAACUCCCCCCAAAAAAAAUUUAAGUUUGUUUUUAAAAAAUAAUUUCAACUUCAAAAUUUCAUUUUUUCACCCCUACUCUCGACCCCCCCUCACCCCUCAAAAAAAAUUUAAAUUUGUUUUUUUAAAAAUAUUUUCAACUUCAAAUUUUUAUUUUUUCGCCCCUACCCUCCCCCCAAAAAAAAAUUAUGUUUGUUUUUAAAAAAUAUCUUUAAUUUCAAAUUUUUAUUUUUUAAUCCCAUCUCACCCCUACCUCCCCCCCCCCCCACCCCCCCCCAAAAAAAUUAAGAAUAAAAGAUAUUUUCUCAAAAUUAAUUUUUAUUCAUAAAUCAAACACUAAAAAAUCGUUUUUAGUCACCAACCAAACAUGAAAAAAUAAGUCAAAAAUCUACUUGUUUUCCGGAAAAACAUUUUCCAUCAUACAAGACACACCCGAAAUGCCAAAAACAUAUAUAAAGUAUCUUUGCGCUUGAGGUAAUGACGCAGCUAGUGAGGUUCUAACUGAGGCGCGUCUAUUGCUGGUUGAAAACUAUUUUCAAACCCUCUCUUCGGCCUAGGUUUUGCCUUGGCCGUUGAGAAUUUUUGGAAGGGCUCCCUUAUCAAGGGUAAAGCCUACAAUUCUUAGUUCAAUAAUUGUUUUUUAUAAUGUGAUUGUAAUGAUACAUAUACAUACAUAUUACUCCUUCUAUCCUAAUUUAUGUGAUUUACUUUUCUUUUUAGACAGUCCAAAAAAAAAUGACAUAGUUUUAUAUUAAGUAACAAUUUAACUAUAAAAUAUCUAUUUUACCCUUGAUAAAAUGAUUUACAGUAACACAAAUUUCUAUCAUUCAUUUUGGACCAUAAGUUUUAAAAGUCUUUCUUUCUUUUUUAAAUUUUGUGCCGAGUCAAACGACCUCAUAUAAAAUGAGACAGAGGGAGUACAUAUUAGUAACGUCGAUUUUAGGAAAAUUGUUAAAUUAGGUCUUAGACCUAACUCACACCCCAAAAGCUAGCUCAAAGGGAGGAGGAUUGCCCAAGCCUUAUAAGGAGUCCACACAUCUCAUUAACCACCGAUGUGAGACUUUUUGUCAUUCUUUAACACCCCACCUCACGCCCAGUGCUUAGCAUCUGAUGCGUGGGCAAUUUUGAUUCUGGGGGUCCCAACAUCGGGUGAGACGGGCCCUGCUCUGAUACCAUGUUAAAUUAGGUCUUAGACCUAACUCAACACCCCAAAAGCUAGCUCAAAGGGAGGAGGAUUGCCCAAGCCUUAUAAGGAGUCCACACAUCUCAUUAACCACCGAUGUGAGACUUUUGUCAUUCUUUAACAAAAAUUAUAAGAUUUUUCAUUCAUAUCUACGUAAAAUAUUUCAACUGCUCAACUAUGUAAUUACAUCAAGAAGGAGAUGUGCUCGUAUGCUAAGGAGUUGGUAAACUUCUUGGGGCAUGCCAUAAGCCAAUUCCAUGGGUGAGGCCAAGGUGUUUGCCAUAAGGGAGUGGGAGGUGACCAGGGGAGAAGUCAGCAGUAUGUCAGGGGUUCAUCUGAAUACCUUUCAGCGGAAAAUAUUACUAUUUAUACAUGGUUAAAAUUAUUUUUUAUGUAUAUAAAGUAGAUGUCGAAUCCCUUUCGAUUUGUUCUUAGGUUUACUUCUGCAGAUUUUAAACCCCCUUAUUAAAAAUCCUAGCUCCGCCACUGGAAGUGGCUACUUCUGUGACUGAGUUAUGGUCUUUUCUUGGGCUUGUGAACUAUUAUCGUUGAUUUAGAAAUGAAUAUUCUUCCAUUCCUGCACCCAAAGAAGAAACAUUUAAAGUGUAAAUUAUAAGUCAUAACCACAUUUAAAGUGUAAAUCAAAUGAAAAUAGGGGGAAAUGCAUGAUAUAUCAUUUAGUGCAUGCCUUCACAUGGGCAAAUUUGUACAUUAGGUUCAUAACAAAACCCUCAUUUUCAAUAAAAAACCUUCUCCUCAAGGUUCGAGUAAAGCAACUUUAAUAUCUCCGUAGUGAACCAUGAGUUGUCAGUGAAACCAAUGCCAAGUAAUUUUCUAUUGAGUGAAAGCUAAAUCAAGAAAACUUUGAUUUUUCACUUUCAAUUGAAUUUCGAAAACCUUCAUCAUAAUAAUACAUUGCUCUUGACAUACCUGAAUUUCAUAUGCAUACCGUAUAUCUAAAGUUAUCCCAAAAGUAGAUAGAUUUAUUGAUAUUUAUGUACUGUGGUGAUAGCUUCAAUAUGGCCUCAAAAAUUUAAAAAUUGAUAUUUAUGUACUGUGGUCAUAGCUUCGAUAUGGCCUCAAAAAUUAAAAAAUUAUACAACAGAGUUUUGUAUGUUGUAUAUUUUAAUAAGUAGUAUACAGUUGUUGAAAUUUUUUAUUCUGAGUGAGGCAUACCAACUCAAGUCAUACUUGUAUGAGGGGCCUUCUUUAAUUGACAAAUGGACGGUAAUGGGUCCCAUUUUUCCAGUCAAUUUAAAAUUCUGUCCUUUCUUCCCCUACUUACUUUUAUCCUUCAUCUUUUUCCGUUCCUUUUUUUUUUUCACUUCUCUUUUAAAAUAUUUUGUUUCUCCAUUUUAUUGAAUGUUUUUUUUUAGGAAAAUCUAUGAAGAGUGUUCAUGUAUUAUUUUUGUGACAUAAUUUAGACUGUUUUGGAAUUUAAAAGUUUGAUUUUGGAGAAUAAUUUGUUAGUGUAUUGGUUAAUCGAUUUAAUUAGUCAUAAAAAAUUGUGUAUUGAUUUUUUAUCGUUCUUUGUGUAAUCAAUAUAUGGAUUUUGAAUAGAAGUGUUCAUAGUUUUAUAUUUUGAUUGAUUUUUAAUUUUUACAUUAAUACAUUUUGAUUGAAUAAUUAGUGAAUUUAUAAAUAAUUAAAAUUGACUAAAUCAAUAUACAUUUUGAUUGAUUUUUAAUUAUUUACAAACACUUUAAUUGACUUUUAAUGUGUACGGUAAAUGAUUAAUUUAUAUAAUUUUUAUUAAAAAAAAUACAUUUUAUAUAAUUUUUCAUCAGAAUUUUACUACUAAAUAUUUUUAAUAGGUUGAAAGAUUCAGGCGCAAACAUAUUUUUAAAAAGAAAGACAUGAAUCAAAAUCAGUUUAUGUAAAACUAAUUAUGAGAUUGUCAACUAAUUUUAUUUUUUUACAUAUUUCUUAUAAACUCUAUUCACCUAACUAAGUUUAUAAAUCCCAACACAUUUUUUAUAAUCCAAUUUUUUUUACUUAUCAUAAUAAUAGUAAAUGCUUAUAAAUUAGCAAAUAAUGAAUUUCUUUUCUAAUGGCAACGAUAAAAGAGAUAAAUAUCAUUACUAAAAAUUGAAAAAUCAAAUCUGUAAAUGUGUACUUUAUUUAUUUUGAAUUAAUUUAAAUAAUUAAAUUAGUUACACAAAAUAAUUGAUUCAAACAAUUCUAUUCAAAAAUCAUAUAUUGAUUAUAUAAAAAAUCGAUCAAAAUUCAGUACUCGAAAAAAAAUCUACAAAUAAUUAGAUCAAGUAAUCAUAUCAUACGUGAACACUCUUCAUAUAAUUUCUUUAAAAAAACAUUUAAUAAACGAAAUAAAUAGAGAAACAAAUAUUUAUUUGGAAGAAGAGUGGACAAAAUGACAAGAGGAAACAGAAAAAGAAAAAGAAAAAGAAUAAGAGUAAUUAAAUAUGGCAGAAGAAAGGACAGAAUUUUAAAUUGACUAAAAAUGGGACCCAUUACAGUUCAUUUUCACGGUUGUCAUACUGAUAUUUUAUUGUCAGUUGUGUACAAAUGGGACCCAUACCUUAACUAUUUCAUUUUCUUUCAUCUUCUUACUCUUUUUCAUUCAUUUUAAACUUUUCCUUCCUACUUUCUUUUUUCCUCCUCUGUAGGUUACUUCAUUUGUCCAAGUCAUAAAGAAAUUUUGAGGCUUGCCCAAAAUGUCUAAUAUGCCUAUUUUAUAAUAUUAUUUAUUUGAGAAAAAAAUAAAGUGAAUGUGGCGAGAAAAUUUCUAUUUAAUUUUUUCAAUGAAAUAAAAGAAAUUGAAGGUAAUGAAAUUACAAAUUAAAAAAUCGUAAAAUUUUGUGUAUUAAUUUCAUAAAAUUGAACCUUUUAUUUUUCUGUACGUAUUUUAUAGAAUGAUAUAUACGAAAUAUGAGAAUUUAGAUAUUUUGUUUUGUGUUUGUUUAUAAAAGAUUAUACAUUGAUUUUUUAAUAUAACUUUUUUCAUCAUAUAUAAACUUUUUCAAAAUUAAAAAAAAAAUGUUAUAAAUAUUUAUUUUUUUUAAAUUCUUUGUUCUAUUUUGUUCUAUUCAUGUGUUUCUCUUUAUAAUAAUCAAGUUAUUUGCAUUUACUUCGUAUUUUAAUUAAUAUUUUUAUUUUAAUAAUGUCAAGAAUGGAUUUUCAUCUUCAAAAUAACUCAUGUCUUUUUAAUUGAUUAUUUUUGUUUAAAUCAAGCAUCAUCAAGACAUAGUAUAUCACAACUAAUUUUUAACUUUUUGUAAAAAAAAAAAGAAUAAAAUCGUUGGAACGAAUUUAUCAUAUUUCUUAGAAAUAAUUAAAUUCUUAGAUAAUGCAUACGUUUUUGGAAGGAUCCUAUAUAUAAUUAGAUCAAUUUCUUAUAUUAUCAUAUAUUUUCUAAAAAUCAACCAAAACCAAAUAUAAAAAAAAAUUAAAGUGAUAAAAAAAAUUGACUUAAUUAAUUUGACUUGAUUUCAACAUUUGAAAAAAUAAAAAAAUUAUCCAAACUAAAACACAGCUACUAAUCCUACUAAAUAUAAUUAAAUUUCAACUUUUGAUAAAUAAACUAAUUAAUACGAAAAAUAGUAAAAUUACAAAAAGAAACGGAAAAGAAGAAGAAGAUAUGGAAUUUGAGAAAAAGAAUAAAGAAAUGGAGCCUUUUAGCUUCUUCUUUUUUAGUGGGACCCAAUCUCCAGUUGGCAAAGUAUGAAAGGAUUUGUAUACAAGUAUUGUCUGGAAUGUAAUAUACUAGAUGGGCAUGGCCCGUGCCGCCACGUAUAUUUGUGUAUUUUUGAACUUUUUUUAAUUUCCAAUGCAGAAAAAAUGGCUUUUGAGUUUUGAUUUGUCUACCGUGUCAUUAUUCAUCUACACUUGUAUCAAAAACAUUUUAAUUUUCAUUACAUAACAACAUAUAAAAAAGGAAUUUUGUAAUCACUGUAGUUUCAGUUAAAUAAAGAGGAACUUGAAAACUAAGAGCCCAUUUUGCCAUGCGAUAUGGUAUCAUGAUAUGGAUUCAUGAUAUGGUAUCAUGAUAUGGAAUCAUGAGAUGAAGUUGAAUGUUUGUUUGGACAUGCGAUAUGGAAUUUUUGUGUUGUAUAUUUUCUCAUAAACAUAAAAAUCUCAUAAGUUGUAAAACUAUUAAAAUAGCCCCAAUUGUUUAUUCAAUCUUAUCAAAUAAACAAAAAAUUAUAAAAUCACAUAAUAAAUUAUUACUAAGUUAUUUGUUCUCCACUUAACUAAUUGUUUCAUCUAACUUUAAUUUAAUAAAAAAAAUUGAACAUAAAUUGUAGUGUACUAGUCUUUAAUAUAAUCCUCUCACAUAGUACGGACAAUUUCCUCACGUUGAACUUGAUUUCUCGAUCAUGUGACUGAGAAGACGAACCAACAUUUGUUACUUUGAGCCAUUUGUUGGUCAAUAUCCUCCGCAACUAUAUCUUCAUGUUCAUAGACCAUAAAUAUUUCAUCACUACUUGGUAUUUCUCAAAUAAUUAUGUAACACUGCACAAGUUAUAACAAUUUUCACUUGUGUAUCAAUAUCAUAAUGGUUCAUGCCUUGUUUCAGUAUUCUAAAUCUAUUUUUCCAAGCUCCAAAAGUCCGUUCAAUCACAUUGCAUAGAGAUGAAUGCCUAUAAUUAAAUAAUUUUUUGGCAUUUUGAGGCUCUCUUUCACUCCCUCGGUAAUCUUGCAAAGGAUAGCGUAGUCCUUUGUAUAGAGCUUUUAAUUCUUCUGUGUUUCGGAAACCAGCAUCAACAACAUAAAAAUAGUGCUUCCAAGACAAUGCAAAGUCAUAAAAUAAAUAUUAUCUCUUUAAACAAAGUUGAUAGGAAAUAUGUAACUAAAUACUAAUAACUUACACAUAAAAUAUAAAUGUUCACUUANNNNNNNNNNNNNNNNNNNNNNNNNNNNNNNNNNNNNNNNNNNNNNNNNNNNNNNNNNNNNNNNNNNNNNNNNNNNNNNNNNNNNNNNNNNNNNNNNNNNNNNNNNNNNNNNNNNNNNNNNNNNNNNNNNNNNNNNNNNNNNNNNNNNNNNNNNNNNNNNNNNNNNNNNNNNNNNNNNNNNNNNNNNNNNNNNNNNNNNNNNNNNNNNNNNNNNNNNNNNNNNNNNNNNNNNNNNNNNNNNNNNNNNNNNNNNNNNNNNNNNNNNNNNNNNNNNNNNNNNNNNNNNNNNNNNNNNNNNNNNNNNNNNNNNNNNNNNNNNNNNNNNNNNNNNNNNNNNNNNNNNNNNNNNNNNNNNNNNNNNNNNNNNNNNNNNNNNNNNNNNNNNNNNNNNNNNNNNNNNNNNNNNNNNNNNNNNNNNNNNNNNNNNNNNNNNNNNNNNNNNNNNNNNNNNNNNNNNNNNNNNNNNNNNNNNNNNNNNNNNNNNNNNNNNNNNNNNNNNNNNNNNNNNNNNNNNNNNNNNNNNNNNNNNNNNNNNNNNNNNNNNNNNNNNNNNNNNNNNNNNNNNNNNNNNNNNNNNNNNNAAAUUUUAAAAAGUAAUGAUGUGAUUAUAAAUUUUAUUUACAUAUGAAAUAAAUGGUUAGUAGAUAUAAAUGUGGGGUUGUUUUAACAAAAUAUAAACUCAUGGAUCAAUUAUUGUAUUAAAAUAUCUCAAAUCAUGAUAUGGAAUCACCAUAUAAUUCCAUAUCAUGGUUUUUGGAGAAUAGAGUAUCACCUCUCAUGAUAUGAAAUCAUGAGAUGGAAUCAACGUAAAAUCGCAUGUCCAAACGCUGAUUCCAUCUCACGAUACCAUAUCGUGAUGUGGUAUCGCAUGGCCAAACGCCUACUAAAUAAAUCUUCUAUAGUUGAUGCAAAGAAAAAUCCAUCCAUUCAAAAGUUCUCCCUGCAUUGCUGUCACAAGCAAAGAUUUUGACAAAGAACCUGAAGCAAAAUUAAGCAAACCUUAAUUGUUAACAGUAUAAACUUAUCAUCUUCCUUAAUAUUGUGUUCACAUUUACUCAAAUCAAAUACUACUAUGAAGAAGACUCGGUAAAUGUCUCAUUAAAUAAAUAGUGCAAAUGCAUUUCACAGAUCCAUUUGUGUAAAUAUUUACCUUUGGCAACUUGCUUGUGAAAUUAUUCGAAUUCAAAAUGUCAUAACAACCAAAAAGCAGAGAACAUAAUUUAUACUUGAUUCUCUUCUGUAGAAACUUCACCAAUCAUAAUAGAGAAAAGAAACUUUAAUUGCUCAAAAAAUAGAAAAUAUGAAGUACACUGAAAAGUAACUUUGAGUUGUAGUAGAUAAGAAGAAACUACUUCUUCCCCUAAUAUAUUACAACUUAGGUAUUUUAAGAAGUCGCCAAACCCUUAUCUUUCGAGGAAUCUUCCUACUAACUGGAAAUUAGGAGUUGAUUUUGCUCCUUUAUAGUGUCUUACAUUUUGAUCGUGUUAAAAUUAAUAUCCUCAUUUAAUUAGUAAAUGCUUUCAUAUCAUCAGUAUGUCACAUUUACCUACAUUCUUUGUUUCAGAAAUACACCAUCUACCAUGAAUUUCAUUGUUAGUUCUUCUCAUUUAUCAUGAGAUCAAAUAUAGUCACAUUGUCCUUUUUGUCAAUAAUAGUAGUACUUGAAGAGACGGUCACAAUUGAAAGAAGGAACUUCUUUUAGGAAUAAAAUGCAUUAAAAUCACUAUUUUCUUUUUCUUAUUCAUCAGAUCGAAUAUCUUACAACUGUUGGAACUUAAGGAACAUUUUAAAGACAUAUGAAAUAGCCUAGAAGACUCGAAAAAUAACACUACUGUAGGAGUUAAUGUUCACUGAUUUUAUGUUCUAACAAAUACGCUAAUGAGUUUUCAUUAAAUAUAGAGGCAACUAAUAUAUUAUAAAGAGAUGCGGCAAUACAUCAUCAAAACUAAAUCAUUCUUUAGCCACUACGUCAUAACACCUUCAUAUUUAUAGAGAGCAUAAAAUAAAACCAUAUAGACGAUUCCUUGUGCAUGCUAGAAACAACUUACCAUUAAACUCUUUUCCAUAUUCUUCUUUUUUUUUUUCUCGGACGCUCAAUCUAUUUAGUGAUAGCAAGCACAAGAUGAAUUUUUUAAUUGUAAAAAUAACUAAAUUUAACUUAAGGGAACCAAUAUGGAAGAACUUAAAAGUAAUAUAAAAUUUUCUGCUCAAGCUUCAACAAUGCAAAAUAAAUUAAAAAAAUUUAACAGUUGGACUUCUUCAAACACCUGAUGGUGUUAGAUAUGUAAACAUAAGAUAAAUGUAAAGAAUCAUAACCAUAAUACAAAACCUAAAAAGUAUAUAGUUACAUGAUGCUCUCAUAGUGCGACUCUUAUUAUGUGUAAUCAUGUUAUGGCAGGCAUUAUCUUACAAGGACAUUUUGCCUUGGUCACAUGAUAAGGCAAAUGUAUUGGUGAGAUGAUUAAAGAAACUAAGCUUACCGAAUAUAUUGUUUUCACCUAUAGGCUCUUCCAUAUACAAUGUUGCUACAUCUUUCCCGGCCUACUCCACAUCCUCCCAAGGAACCCGAAUCUGGAGAAUAGACUCAAUUACUUAAGAACAAUUGCCUAGCCUAUAGCCUAUCCAACUUUGAUAAUGAUUUCGUUUGUUGCACUCCCAUCACAUUGUCUUUGUGAGAAUCAAGCGGCAAGAGCUACUAAUUUGAGAGAUAUUUAAGUGAUUAGCUCUAAUUUGAGAGAUAUUUAAGCGAUUGGAAGAUAGUAUCUUAAGUUAAUGUGCAGGUUUGUUGAAACUAAUUGCAGAGCCAAACAGUACAACUGUAGUCGUAACAGAGAAGUGUGUCUUGUUGUCUAGAUAUAGAGAUUCCUAUUACUGAAAACAUGAAUAUUGAUAUUUGGCUAGUGUUCUUGCGUAGAGUUUUACGUAUUUGUAAUGAAUUUGUAUCUCAUAUAUCUUAGUAUAUUCCUAAAAUAUAUAUUGAAGAGCAAGCAUAUUUCCGCAGGAAUAUAUGUUCGAGGAUUCAGUAUUCCAUAAUGCCAAUUUACAACUCAACUUAGUAAUAUAUUUGAAUUCUACUAACAUAAAAUAUAAAUCAACUACAGUCAAAAUAAUGAACCUCAUCCCAAGAAAGCUACAAUAUCAUAUCAGUAUAAACCACCAGAUCCUAACUAAUGCAUAUGAAAAACAUGAGACCAAAAUAAAAGUAGCAACAAAAAUAUGGUGAAAAAGUAAACAAAUGUAAGAAAUUUGGAUAAUCAUGCAGGCAAAACGAAGAAUGAAGAAUGCUCCCACUAAACCAAUAAGACGGUGGCAGUAAUUAACACAUAAUAUUAUGUUAGCUUAGAGUGCAUAAAGGCGAAGCUCUAAAAAUGUUAAACUACUGGACAUGGCGAACACAAUCAAUAGAUAUUUUUCUGUUUUUUUUUGGGUUCAACAAUCAGUAGAUAUAAAUGGUCAGAUUGAGAAAAAAAAGACCGCCUCAAAAAAAGAAAUGUGUCACGGGAAAAGAGAGGAUCCCUAUUGAGGUUCACCUAAUCUACAGAAUUCCAGAGCAUGAUGACUUAAAGGCAAUAAAUUCAGAAUAGAACUGCUACUCCACCACUAAAGCUCAACAUAAAACGUUUGAUGCAAACAAUACAUGCUAGACAUCUAUGAUCCUCGUCAAUGAAAUUUUCAUGUGAUACAUUAUAUUAUCUCAUAAUGUAGAGACACCAAAAUCAAGAAAUAUGAGAGACAUAUUAAAUGUAAGUUUCAUACCUUAGAACAUGGAGACCAUCUUCUAUGUCCGAUUGAGUCUUGUAAUUCAUAUGUAACAGGAAGCUAGCCUGUAAACUUUAAAGUAGAACUUCCUAUUACCAUAGAACACCAACAAUCCAUUGAUCAUAUGAUCUCACGUGACUUUGUUUAUGAUAACGUCAAUGCUAAAAAAUAAUUUAGCAACUGAUUCGUGUUAGUCCAUGCCAAUUUUCAGAAAAUUAAGGAGAUAUGUGCAUUUUAAGGGUUAACCAUCAUGUUAUCAACUUAAGGUAGUUUGUUGUUUGUUUUAUCUCCAUUAAGCUUCAACAGAGUUAGAUAAAAGGAUGGGUGUUGAGAAAAAAAAAACAGAAGAAUAGUUGUUGUGGUAGCAGAAUGUAGACUGCAAAAUUGUGAACUCACCCUAUAAGGAAUUUAGUCUCUACUCAAAGAAAAUCGAAUCAAAAUGGGGAAAACCUAUAUUUUCUUGGUUUGAUUUGGUAGAAUUAAGGUUGACGAUAUAAUAAUUUCUCUUAAAAAUUUGAUAGAUUGUUUGAAUAUCAAGCUUCUGCUCCAUUCCCGCAUCUCAUGUUUGCAAUUCUCCCCUUAAAGUAAAUGCAAAGACCUGAAUAUGAGAAAUUAUUAAAUACAAAUUCGUAAAUAGGCAAGCCGGAGAGGAGAGAAGGAGAAAAAGGACCAGUGCUACAAAUUACAAUAUAGUGCAUGCAACAAAUACCCAAUAAAUUAGCAAAAUUGAAAGAAAAUUCAAAUCAAUCGAAUGAAAAAUUGACCUAAAAGAAAAACAAAAAUAACAUAAAAUUAGAUAAAUCCACGUCCGCUAGGUUCUACACUGGUAGGAAAACGUAUAAUACCACUGGAGAAGAAAUUUAAACCUGAAGGACGGAAGAAAUCAUUCCCUGAAGAAGAACAAUCUAUCAAAUUUUUGUUAAAUGUUACGUUCCAAUGGAAAAAGACCAACACAAUUAGUAGCAUACGUGUUUCUUGAUAAAGAAAGAGCAAUACUAGUGUUAAUAGAGUAGGUCAUAUAUUUAUGACAGAUGGGCCCAUUAUAAUGUACUAUUUAUAUUACUCUUGCUACAAUACACGACUGUAGUAGUGUAAAGUAAUAGUAAUAAUGUGCCUCUCACAUGAUAAAAUUUGUCCUCAUAUUUUUACAUGUUACCAAACUGAACAUAAAUAUAAAAAAAUAUUGUUGGCAGUUUAUAGUUAGUCUUAAUUGGUCCAAUUGAACCUAGAUGCUUGGCUUCUUUAAUUGACAAUGAUUGAAAAAAUGACAUGUGUACUGUGUGCAAACUUUAUAGUAUAAAUUUCCUUCAGUUUUUUCAACUCAUUCAAACUCAAUUAAUUACAAAUUCAUCAUAGGUCAAGCUUCCCAAGAAAUUUUAUUACUCCCUUUGUUUCUAUUUACUUAUUCACUUUUUCUUUUAUAGUUGUCCCUAAUUACUUAUUUAUUUUGACAAAUCAAGAAAGGACAAAAAAAAAAAUCCUAUUAUACCCUCAAUUAAUUACUUUGAAAAAGGUAGAACUUUUUGAAAAUAUUAAAUUUUUAAUUCGUUUACAUCAUAAUUAAUAGAGGUAAAAUGGUAAAGUCACUAUAUCAAUAAUUGAUUUCUUAAUAGGUGUGUCAAUUCAAAAAUGGAUAAGUAAUCAGGAACAGAGGAAGUAUAAUAGAAGUGUCACAACCAAUAAAAAAUGUGUGAAGCUAUAUACAUUUUUCACACAUAGAUAGUAUUAUUUAUAUAAUUCAUGUGGAUCUACAGACAUAUUAAAUUAUACCAAUAUUUUAAAAAGUGAUAAAUUAUAUUAUUACAAUAUUUGAAUAUUCUUUAUUUGGAAUAAAAAUUGUACCAAGUUUCUUUACUGAUUCAUUUUUUAAAUAAUAAAUAAUUUCUUCAAUUUCAAUUUAUGACACUUUUUUCUGUAUAGUCAAUUUUAAAAAAUGACAUCUUUAUAUAUUUAAUAUUAAUUUAACUAUAAAAUAUAUAUUUUACCUUUAAUAAAAUGCUAUAUAAUAAUAUAAAUAUUUUAAUUUAUUUGAAAUUAUAAAUCUUUUUUAAAAAUUCUUUAUAUUUAAACUCUAUUCCGCCCCCAAACCAAAACUCAGUAUCGAGAUGUUUUGGACUUAAAGUGGAUUGAUCCGGAGGAGUCAUCUCAUCUAACAUCCUUACUUCCCACCAAUCCAUAUUGCUCCAAAUAGUUGUCUCUUUCUCCCAAUUGGGUUAAAAAUUAGACCAAAUGUUGAUCAACAGAAGCACUUUGAUCAUAUCAUGGGGCAACAAGUGACAAUAAGUUUGUCCUAUUAGGAUUAGAUAAACUCUAAAAUGCCCCAUCAUUACAAGUCAACAACUACAUCCUAAUAAUACUUUCUUUUUCUUGUUCUUUUUGUUGGUUGAGAGUGGGUGGGGGUUUGAGUAUUUAUUAUACAUAAAAUAAAUAAUAUGCAUUUCCAAAAAGUUAAGUGGGUGUAGCACUAAAUUAGUGGAUGCAAAGUAUCACUACACCACUAGGCCUUAGUGAUAAUAGGUGUGAAAUGAGGUGUUUGGAAAUGUUAGAAGUAGUUAAAUAGGAAGAUCACUAUAAUUAAUUACAGAACUUUGUUUUGUUGACCACUUGACUUAUGCCUAUUUGAAUAACGUCGGUAUAAUUCUAUUUGAACUAUUCAUUUUCAAAUGAUAUUAACUUUGUUUACAAAUAGGCAAAUUCACACCUAUUAUUGCAAGUAUAAUGGAAAGAAACAAUAAGCUUUCUGUUCUAUUUGUUCGUUGGAUUCGCGUCAACCAACCACGUUUUAGGAAUUUGCUCUCUAUGUUCUAUAUAUAUAGACAUUAGUCCAAAAAUAACAUAGAUAUAUUACACUGUUAUAUAUUAAGAUAAGAAUGCCAACAGGGCUACAAAUUUGGAAAGAUACAUAUAUAAAUUUAACAGAAAGCAGUACUGGAAUAGCUCUUAGCAACAUUACUAGACAGUAUUUGGAUCAAUGAGCUAUUUUUUGGACCAACACAUCUAGGGGUUUUGAACUGGCUCACCGCGCCUCCUAAUCCAACGAAAUGAUCCAAUAUCUUAUGAAAGGUUCCCCUCUUCACAAUCCUCAGUUCAAGUGCUCCAAUUGCAUUCACUUUUCGGGAGCUCACGUAGCCUGCAUCGAGGAACGACUUGUCCAGACAGUUGCAGCACUCUUGCAAUAUUUCAUCAGUUGCUUCCCCACUCAGUUCCCAGAAGAUGACGUAGUGUCCUGGAUCAGCUGAGACGUUGACAUGGCUUGUGAAGUCCACCACUUCUAGCUUUUCGUCAACUAAGUGCUUGCCUGCAGCUUCCACAGCUAGUUGCAAAUCUUUCUCAGUGUUCUUGUCUAUGUUAAUGCUCAGCAAAAGGUUCCUUCUGCAAACAAACUGGAGUUCUGGAGUGCCAUUGUGGAAUCCUUUUAUCUUGACAACAUCACCUAGUCUGUAACGAUAUAAACCUGCAUAUGCAAAUGCAUAACUCUCGUCAAUUAUACUGUCAGUAUAUAUAGCUAAACUCGUAUAUGACGCAAUAGAUAGACC